rnacentral:lncRNA from 1 species
UUUCAAUUUAUAUAAAAAUGAUGGCUAAAUUUAUGUAUAUGUAUGAAUGGUGUAGAACAUAUAUUAAUUUGAAUAAAUUAGAGAAAAAAAAUUUGUUGAAAGAAAUUUAGCUUGUUAGCUAUCCGCUUCGUUUUUUUUAAAAAAAUUUUAGUUAGAAAUAUAAAAUGAUUAGGCUUCGAACUUAAUUAGAAUUUCAGAUACCAACCAUAUAAAGCUUGUAACAAACUGGCUUUAGGUACAAUCAAUUGAAUAAAUUAGAUUAUGAUGUUGGUAGAUUUAUGUUGCAAAGAAUUUAGUAGCUAGGGAUAAUAAUAUAUAAGAUGUACUUAUAGAUCGAUCUGGUGCAUGGAAUAUUUUUUGCUCUUUUUCUCUCACCCUGCACAAGCUCUUUGCCCUAUCAGAAUCUCGGAAAAGAGAGAAAGAGAGCGCAACAAAAGCGAUAAAGGAAGCUAUAACAAGAGGUGCUUCUAAAGCUAGACACACACACACUCACAUAUAUAUAUAUAUAUAGAGAGAGAGAGAGAGAGAUGUAGAAGUAUCAACAAAAGGAAUAGCUGUGGAAAGGAGCCCUAGCCUUCAUGUAGUUAGUUAGUCAUUGGAUUGCAUGGCUUUGCUAAGCUGCGCCGUGCCGGUUACGCUGCUUCAGCCGGAGAUGGAGAGGAGAUUCUUAUGUGCGGGGAGCGAGCGGUCGGUGGGGAGCGGCCGCAGCAGCAGCAGCUGCGGCAGCGGCGGCGGAAGUGUACUAAGGGAGGAAGCAGAAGAGGAAGAGGUAUCGGUUCGAGACGGUGGGGGAGAAGAGGAGGAGGAGGAGGUUUACGUCGCGGUCGGAAAGGAGGUGAAGGAGGGGAGGGCCAAUCUAAUGUGGGUGCUGCGGAAUAUCUCGCCGAGUACGAAAAUCGUCGUCGUUCACGUCCAUCGCCCUGCAAUGAAGAUCAACAUACGUAAGAGUUUAUCAUUUUAGAGUGAAUAGGAGCAAUUAGUUCAUUUUAGAGAUCAUUUGAAAUUUAAUUUCUUUUAUUCUAUUCGAAUAAAAAAGAAAGAAGCAGAAAGAAAAGAAGAAGUUAGGAGAGAAAAUUCUUUUUUUUAAACUCUAGUUCCAUAGAACUUCUAGAAGAAAAAGGAAAGAUCAAUUAAUGCGAGUGAAUUAAUAUUUCUUUCAAGUUUUCUUUUUUUUUUAUCUAAGAAAGUGAAAAAAGGAAGAAAAGAAAAAUACACUGUUAAAACCCAAUUUCUUUCAUUUUCUCUUCUCUUCUACACAUGCUAAUACUAAAUUAAGUCAUUUUCGAUUUUUUUUUCUUUUUUUUUUAAUAUUUUUGCUCUCUUUGUUUUUUCUUCACUCUCAUUCUCUCUAUCCAACCAAAGUGUUCAUGUAUCUUCUUUAUUUUUCUUGUAAUUAAUAACAUGGUGGAUUCUCCAUGUUUGCUUAAGAGAUAUUGCUCGGGAUGAUCACUAGUAAUUAAGAGUAAAUAUAUAUGUUCUUGUAUAGAUGGGAUCUUUCAAGUUAUUUGAAGUUAUUUGAGAUGAGAAUCAUACAUAUUUAAUUUUUUCUCAAACUUAGAACUAAUUUUGCUGAUGAAUUCAUACUAUCAUUUCAUGUUUGGAAAUUAAGUCCUCGACCAGCAUUAAUUUUCCUCGAAAAACUGAAAAAAAGAAGUUUUAAUUAAACAUUCCUUUUAUUUUGUUGAAACAGUUAUAUUUCUUUGGUCUAAUCAUCUAUUUUCCCUAUUUCACACUAACCUCACCUCAUAAAUAAAAUAUAUAAUAAUGCUUCUUAAUUACAAUUGUUUUUUUUUCCCUUAAUUGGACAGUAAUAUUAAGUUGUUCCUCCUAGUUGACAUUAGUUUGUCACACAUUUCGACCACAAAAUUUCAUUUUCAAAUUAAAUAUUCAAAAGAAUUAAAAAGGAACACAAAAUUUCAUUUUCAAAAUAUUCAAAUAAAGAAGUUUUUAAUUCUUUUGAUUGCAGUGGGAGCAUGGUUUCCUGUUAGCCAGCUACAAGAACAGGAGGUGAUCGCAUACCGGCUUAUAGAGAAGGAAAAGAUGAAUAAAAAUAUGGAAGAAUUUUUGGAUAUUUGCGCGAGUCAAAAGGUUGAUUUUUAGCUCCUAAUUCAACUCAUAUUUUUCUAUUAAUUUUACAUUUAUUAUAUGGCCUCACAACCAAUAGCUGUAUAUUAAUCGUAUACUAAUGCAUUAUGAUUAAUUAGAUGAUAAUAUUUUUGCCAAACUAUAGUUCUAAAUUAGAAUGGAAUCGCAAUACGAUGUUAUUGGAGGUCAUGUACGACGAACAUAUUGUUUGAGGCCAUCUUAGAAGUUUACGGAUUUUGCAGGUUAAAGCCGAAAAGAUCGUAAUCGAGGAGAAUGAUAUUGCUAAAAGCAUUGUGGAGCUCAUUGCUCAACAUGGGAUUGCAAAGCUUGUCAUGGGAGCAGCAGCUGAUAAACAUUAUUCGAGGUACGCGCGUGCGCUUUAGACAAUUCCAAACUUUCCUUGGUAGCAUGAAAUUUACAAAUAUAAGUGAUCAAACACCCCCUCAAAUUGUUUUACGGUAUUAAUGUUUCUACGUACGAAGUGACUUCAAAUUCAAUAUAUAUUCAUAUGAUGAAAGAAAAUAUUGUUGAAAUACAUAAGAGUUUCUCUUCAUAUAUAUGUAUGCUAUUAUAUACUUUUAUUUUACUUGAAUUGUAUUGUUCUUCAUAUACUUCUUCAAUCAAUUCAAAUACUUUAAUCAACAGGAGAAUGAAGUCGCCGAAAUCCAAGACAGCUCAAACUGUCCAGCAGCAAGCUGAUCCCUCAUGCAAGAUAUUGUUUGUUUGCAAAGGAAACCUAAUUUGCGCAAGGUAUUAUUCCCAAGAUCAGUAGAAACGCGAAGAUCUCUUGUGGCCUCCCUUAGUUUUUGUAUUUAAGAAGUUUUGUAGAUGUGCAUUGCUAUGGAGACUCUACAAUAUUAUAUUUAUAUGCUAUUGACAUAUUACUGAUGUGUCACACACAGAUUAACUUGUACAAUACAAGUCAUUAAUGAUAAUAAGAAUAUUCAAAAGAGGUACCUAAAGUAUUUUCAUUCUCCAAUAAUUAUCCCCAAUAUCGAUUAUAUAUGCAUGCAUUUUAUUAAUAUAUCAUAUAUGUAGAGAAAAAGAAGUUAGUUACAGGUUAAUUUGAUUUGUUCUUUGCUGUUUUGCUGAAACCUGAACUGAUAUUUGGACAUACUUAGAAGGAAACAAAAAAAUCAAUAUUUUUCCUUUUUUCUUCAAAUUAGUUUUCUCAAUUCUCAUGGUUGUGUUGUUUGAAUUCUCAUCCUUUAAUAGGGAAGUUGGCGAAAGAUCAUUUAGGGCGGAAUCAUCUACAAGCAGCACGAGUCCUUGGACCAGCGUAUCGACGCGCAUAUCCGAACAAUUCAAAUCCACAUCAGUAGAACAAGGAAAGUGUGAGUCUUCCACCAUGCAAGAAGCAUUCCAUGCAAGGUUGAGAUUGGCGAAUUCGACCUCUAGUGGUGAAGCAGAUCAGUGGAAUGAGGAAUCCAGGCGAUUUCAAGCCUCGAAUCAUCAACUGAUCAGUUCAGAAAUUGAAGAGCAUAGCAACGCCGGACCUUCAUUGAUAAAUAAGGAUGCAGGGAAUAAAGCUGGAUCGACCGGUUUGCCAUCGCCAUAUGAGUAUGAAGAGGAUUUGCAAGCUUCAUUUCCUUCUGAUUAUUCGGUUAGCGCAUUUUAUCUCUUUCACUUUAAUCUACACUUCGGAAUUUAUAUAGGAAAUUUAUGUAUAUUCCUAACCAUGAAGUAGAACAACUAGCUUUAAGAAAUACAGUAUUAUUUUCUAAAAAUAAAAAAAAAGUUGGUGUUUUUUAGGAAGAUAUUGAGGUAGAUCAAGAAUCAAGUGAAAAGCUAAGGGAUGCAUUCAUGGAGUUGGAAAAUUUAAAACGUGAAGCGCACGAAGAGUCGUGGCAGCGGCAAAAAGCUGAGAGAGACUUGGUCGAGGCUUCGCGCAAAGUAAGCUCAAUUGGUUUGAUGUUUAUAGCUACCUAGUUUCAAUACCAUAAAAAUACAUUUACUCAUCAAAAAGAACAAUGGCAUUAAGCUGUUCUCUUAUGUACCUAGGUCAAGGAAGCGGAAAAUUUGUUCAUGAAAGAGGUAAGACAAAAUAAGGAAAUAGAGGAGAGACUAGAGAGAGAGAAAGGUGAAUUUGAAGAGGAUAAGCAGCAGCUUAGUCAAAUACAUGAUCAACUAAAGAAGGCAAAUGAGCAAAGGUUAGCACUUGAACUCCAAAUCCGAGAUUCCGAAUGCAUGAUCGAGGAUUUCGAAGGGAAAUUAUCGGAGGCAUACCGUACUCUCGGAAUGCUGCGAGAUGAGAAUAGAGAUCGACAGCGAGAAUGCAAUGUCAGAGACGUUUUUCAAGGUGAGGCUGAGGAGCCAAGUUCUAGCUCUCGCGACGGAGUCAUCGCCAAUUUCGCGGUGUUUACGUAUUCGGAGCUGAAGCAGGCGACUAACAAUUUUGACGAGUCGUUGAAGAUCGGAGAUGGCGGGCGUGGCAGCGUGUAUAAGGGCUUUCUUCGCAGUACGACGGUGGCCGUAAAGAUGUUAAAUUCUAAAGGAGAAUCUGAGUUUAAUCAAGAGGUAAUUUGUUGUUCAAUUGAAUAUACAUAAUUAGAUAGUUAUAAUAAAACUUGAUUUCGCAUAUAAGUAAAUUCAUAUUCUAUAAAGAAGCUACAGCAGUAUAAUACAAGUUUAAACUUUUAGAAAAUAAUGAUCGGUUCAUAUUAUUUAACAGAAUCAAAGAUAAAUAAUUCGUCAGAUUACUCAAAGAGUAACCAACUUGUUGCAGGUGGAAAUUCUCAGCAAAGUUCGGCAUCCGAACCUCGCGGCCCUCGUCGGAGCAUGCCGCGAGGCCCGCGCUCUCGUGUACGAGUUCGUUCCCGACGGAAACCUCGAGGACCGCCUCCGGUGCGCCCGCCAGUCCCCGCCUCUCGCAUGGCAGGCCCGCAUGCGCAUCGCGUCGGAGAUUUGCGCUGCGCUGAUCUUCCUCCACUCCCAGAAGCCUAAACCGAUAGUCCACGGCAAUCUCAAGCCCGAGAACGUCCUUCUCGACGCCAACCACGCAACGAAGCUCGCCGACUUGCUAGUUGUUUCGUCAAACACCGCCGAUGGAACAGUACUACCACUCCGCCGCGGCCGCGGUGCAGCUUACGUCGACCCGAACUACCUCGCCACGGGGACGCUCACGCCGCAGUGCGACGUGUACUCCUUCGGGGUGAUACUGCUGCGUUUGCUCACGGGGAGGGGCGCGCAUCGGAUCGCGGAGGCGGUGCGGGAGGCGUUGGAUAGGGGGGAUCAGCUCAUACGGGCGGAGUUGGGUCUGAGAUGCUGCGAUCUGCGGCGGAGCAGACGGCCGGAUCUCGGUAAGGAUGUCUGGAGGGUGCUGGAGCCCGUAAUGAAUGUGGCCUCGUUGUCCGCGCGGUUGUCGUUAUCAUCGUUGUCGUCGUCACGCUGGUCGUUCAGGUCGGAUUCCGACGGGAACUGCAGUGCGCCGUCUUAUUUUCUCUGCCCCAUACUUCAGGUCAGUGCUUAUUCUAAGAUUUACAGUUCUGCAACAAAUUAGUUAACACGUUCUACACUCUACAUCAAAUAAUGCAUUACAUUUUUUUUUCCUUAUAUAUAUAUAUAUAUAUAUAUAUAUGAGCUGGGUUGAAAUAUUAUUGAUAGUAUUUGAUCCUUUUGUUAUCAAAUUUUUAACCUUUGAAUGAGAAAUUAUAGGAUUAGAAUGAUAUUAGUCCCUUACGGCUGCGUGGUCUUUCUAAGAUUGAAUGGUCCCCAUUGAGUUAUAACAUUUAAUCCAAUUGUUAGAAAUGAUCAAAAAAAUUAAUCCAAAAUCUAAAAUCUUGCAUAACAAAAGGGAACAAAUACUCUUUUAUAGUAUUCUAGCCCUACUCUCUCUAUCUCUCUCUAUUUAUAUAUUUUGAAAAUAUGAUUAAUUAUGGAUGGUAUGAUUAAUUAAUUGCACAGGAGAUCAUGAAGGAUCCACAAAUUGCAGCGGAUGGGUUCACGUACGAGGGGGAGGCUAUAAGAGGGUGGCUUCAGUGUCGGCACGAUACGUCCCCCGUGACCAACCUCAAGCUCACCAGCUCCGAGCUCAUUCCCAACCACGCCCUUCGCUCCGCAAUCUAUGAAUGGUUGCAGAAACACCGCUAAAAUAAGAAAUUCUUUUUUUCCUUUUUUACACUUAUUGUAUAUUCCAUUGUACAUGUUGUAUUGUAUAUCGUAUUAUUUUUUUAAAAUUUUUUUUGAGUAGGGUCGUGUAGUGUUAUGCAAAUAAUUCGUUUAUGUACUUGUAUCUAAAUUGUUAUAAAAAUAACAUGCGGCCUGUAGUUUAGCUUAUUUUUCACUUCACUAUUUCGUGAUCUAAAAAGUUUUUUUAGUUUUUAUGUAAUUUAAUUUUUAUUUCAUUAACAAAUACUGAGUGAAAUAGAAUGACAAAGUGAAAGCUAAAAAAAAUCAUACGACAACGUAAAAAAAUGCUAAAUAAGAUUACAGGGAGCAAAGUAAAAUUUUUUAAACUGCGAGUUAACAAAGUAAAAAUGAGCUAGAUUAUAGAAGUGUGAAAUAAAAUUUUUUAAACUAUGUAGUGGCAAAAUAAAAAUGAGCUAUAAGAGGAAUUGUAAAUUUACCUUAGGAAAAAAAAAGGAAAUACAAUUGGUUGGCUCUUUGCUGACGUGGUGGACCGAAUCUAGGCCUGAGAUGCAGGGCGCCCAAUUGUGGCCUUUUCGUAAAACCGACCCAAAUCGGAGGGUAUAUUAUAUAAGCUUCGAAGGAGAGCUCAUCCCAACCCGGUUCUCCUUUCAUCAAUGUCCGGUUCACUGAACCGCGUGGACCGAACCGGUGCCACGUCAACGGAAGAGACGGGGAGGAGCGACGACUCCGCUGUGGCAAGUUGCGUAACUUGCGCUGAUGUCACGGCGAAUUUUUCUUUUUUUUUUUUUUAAGUCGUCCCGUAAUAGUUGACCGACGACUCCCACUUCCACUCGCUUUGUCUCUCAUUGCUACGUCACCUACGUGUAUAUUUUUCACUUUUUUAUUUUUGGGAAAACUUCAAAAAACCCCCUGUGGUUUCAAAGUUUCUCACUUUACCCCCUUGUGGUUUAAAAUGUAUUAAUUUGUCCCUGUGAUUUUUUUUUUCUAUUUUUCUUAUCAAUUUCAUUAUUUUUUUUUUCUUAAAUCAGUGAUAAAGUUAAAAUUAAAGGGUACUAAAGUAAAUAUUUGAUAAAUGUAGAUAGUGUCUGAAGUUUUUUGUAUAUAAUUUAAUAAAAUGUUAACGAAAAAGCUACUGAAAAGAUAAAAAUAAAACCACAGGAGGGAAAUUUGAUACAUUUUAAACCACAGGGGGCAAAGUGAGAAACUACAAAACUACAUGAGGAUUUUUUGAAGUUUUCCCUUUAUUUUUUAGUAAAAUAUUAUAAAAAAUGUAUUAUAAUUGCCUUUUUGUGAACGCAAUAUAUUAUGAGUAGGGUUGUUAUGCUAUUAGGAGCACUCUUUUAAAUUUUUAAUUAUUUGUUAAUUUUGAUGAGUGGUUAAGAUGAGAGAGAAAAGAGAAAUUCAAAAAAAAGAUAAAUUAAGAUAUCUAAUUUUUUUUCUCUCUCACAUCGUUCAUCAAAAUUGAUAAAUGAUUAAAAAUUUAGAAGCACACAGGCUGCUGUACUCCUAAUAACACAAUAAUCCUACUCAUAUUAUCGAAGAAAAUAAAUAUAUUAAUAUUUUAUCAUAUUAUCUUAUCACACGUAAUUUGUUUAUAAAAAUAUAUUACAAUUGACUUAUUGGGAUAUAUUGCAUAGGAUAUUAUUUAUAAAACAAACAUAGUAAUUUUUAUUGUACUUUUUUUUACUGUAUUCAAUGUAUUACAAUACCAAAACAUAGCCUUUCACAGCUAAUGUUAACACAUAUAGAGUUCAAUUUAAAUACUUUAAAAUUUAUUUUUUUAAAAAAUAGAUAAUUAGAUGGAAUGAAAUGAGCUGUCCAUAGCUGACGUGGUGGACUAAAUCCAAACAAAAUACUCUCUAAACCAGUAGAGAUUUAAUUAUUGCCUCCCAUAAAUUUCCUUUUUUAAACUUAACUAGCAUUAAAAAAUAUUGUGUAAUAAGAACAAAAAAUGAGACGCAUAAUUCCAUCUUUUUUUAUUAGGUUUACAAAUAUUUCUCGAAACCCCCAAUAUUCUCCUCAAAUUACAUUUCACUCCAACUGGGAAAAGGAGACUCCACCGAAAAAAAAAAAAAGAGAAAAAGGGAAGGGGAAGAGGCGACUACUACGAUCGAUCAUGGCGAUGGCGAGCUCGUCCAUGGAGAUCGCUCACACCCCUGGUCUCGAGCGGCGCCUCCGAAGUGCGGCGGCGGAGGAGGCGGCGCCGCCGAGGGAGGUGGUGGUGGAGGAGGAGGGAAGGGGUAGUGGAAGAGGAUGAGGAGGAGGAAGCAAGAGAAGAAAAAAGAGAACAAUCAGAAGGAGAGAGAUGAAGAAGGUGUAUGUGGCGGUGGGGAAGGACGUGAAGGAGGGGAAGGCGACGCUGGUGUGGGCGAUAGAGAACAUGGCGGGGCCAAAAAAGGUCGUCGCCCUCGUCCUCGUCCAUGUCCAUUGCCCCCCGAAGAUGAUAUCCAUCAGUAAGAGUCUCUUCGAUACUCAACACCUUAACCCUAAUCAAAUACCAGAUAUUUGUGUUUUUUUUAAAAAAUAAAUCGGUGUUUUUUUGUGCUCUUUGGGUUGCAUUGAUGAUUUGGUGAGAACCCAUUUGAUAUCUCACCUCAAUUUGAUCAAAAUUUUUCCUUUUUUUUUUUUUCUUACAUUUGUAGUUAAGCUUAUGAAUCCAGGAAAUAACUCGUUAUGAACUAUGAUGAGAAUAUAGUAUGAUCCCUAUCUUUAAGAAUCUAAUCAAUAUUACCUUCUUAACUCAAUCCCAAUCACAGAAGUUGAUUGCAAAAAACAAGAAAAAAAAAAGAAAAGCGUUUUUUAUGUGGAUUUGAUGAUUUGUUGAGAACCCAUUUGAUAUCUCAGGUUAAUUUGAUCAAAAUUUGUCUCCAUUUUAUAUUAAUUCAUUACUUAACCUUACAAAAUUCUGAAAACAAUUGAUAUGAACUAUGGUGAGAAUAUAAGAUGAUCCCUGUAAGUAAAAUCUCUUGAAUGUUACCAUUUUGACUCAAACUCCAAUACAGAAGUUGAUUAAAGACAAAAAUCUUUUACCUUUUGGCGUUUUUUAGUAAUUUAGUGAGAUCCCACUUUUUCAAUGUCUUCUGCUUUAAGAUAAUUGAUUUUGAACUAUGAUGGGAAAAAAAGAAGCUAAGCUUUAUCUAAUAUGUAGAGUUUCAUUGUAUUUAAUCCUUCAGUUGUAUUUCCCAAUAUAGGCUUUUUUUUUUUGUUUUUCUAUAUACUACAUAUAUGUUUUUCCCUAGGAAUAGUUGUCAAGUGCUUUCUUUUCAUUCUUGAUUCCAGUGGGUUGCAGGUUCCCUGCAAGCAAACUCAAAGAGCAGGAGGUGACUGCACACCGAAAGCUGGAGAUGUCGUCCAUUUAUAAAACUAUGAAUGCAUACCUUAAUAUAUGCUCAAGUAAAAAGGUAAUAUCCACUGCUUUGUCAUCUCUCUUCUCCUUAACCUCCUAGUUCAUCCAUGUCCAGGAAAAUUAAAGCUUGAUAAGUUAGGAAUGGAAUGCUUUAACCAAGAAGUUUUGGUGGAAGUUGGUUUUAUUGGAGAAAGAAAAAGGAUUCUCCUGGUUUUUGGGCAGUUGUAAGUUAUUUGUAUUCUUGUUUUUAAUUAAACAGGUGCGAGCUGAGAAAGUAGUUAUCGAGAGAGAUGAUGUUGGGGAAGGACUUGUAGAGAUUGUUGCAGAUCGUGGGAUUACGAAGCUCGUCAUGGGAGCAGCGUCAGAGAAGCAAUAUUCAAGGUAUGAAGCACAAGUUCUUCUAAAUGUGUGUCAUUUCACGUGAAGGAGGAGAAGGGGCUGGGAUGAUGUUUUACUUGUAAAGUUUGGUGUGCAUUUCACUGUGAAAUAUAUGUGGAACAUUAGAAUAAUUCAUAGUGCUGUGAACUGCACUCUCCAAAGUCACAUAAGAUUUGGUUUUCUUGUUGGUGCACUCUUCACUCUACAAGAGGAAAACCUGUCAUUUCAAUUAAAAAGUUCAUCGAAUUUUUUUUAUCUUUUGGUAUUUUGUAUGUUUGGGGGUCUCUUUGUCAGAAGUAAAACAGAAAUCAUUGUAAUCUCGCUCUCUCGUGUAAAAGUGAAACCAGUUGUGCCUAACUUAACCACUGCUUUAAUGAUUUAGAAAAAUGAAGAUGCCCAAGUCAAAGAAAGCGCUCAAUGUACAAAGGCAUGCUCGUCCAUCAUGUGCGAUCUGGUUUGUUUGCAAAGGGAAUUUGAUAUGCACCAGGUAUGAAUACAGUCCACGGAAUCAGCAUAAUGUAUUGGACUACAUUGCAGCAUAUAACAAGAGAACUAACUAUUAAAUAUUGCUCUCACAACACCACACAGCACCAUGUUUGAAUUUUUUUUUCGGAAUAAACAGUGUUGUAACUUGAACUGCAUUGUUCUGCAUCUCAUCUUGUUCGUAGAUAAACCACUGUGCCUCACUAGCUUGACAUUGCUGUCCAGGUAAAAUUAUUUCCUAUACUAACCCUGAAGUUUGAUACAAAUUUAUGUUUUUUUUUUCUGUUUAAUUAAAAAAGGGGGAUAAUCAAGUAGAUAAUCAAGGUCAUGCUGUUAAACUUCAUAGGAAUUGACUUUGGUAAUUCAAUGGUAUUUGACAACCUUUAUCUGAUUCACAGUGUAGUAUUGCUUUGAUGUUCUUCAAUUAGUUUCUUGAUGAUCUUAUGACUUUUAUACUCUCUGAACUAAAAUCGUUUGAACCUAAUAAAUAGGGAAGCUGGCAAACAAGGUUUUGGAAUGAUGCAGCCACCUAUAGCGGGCCAAAGAUCCGGAUUUAGCAGAUUAGAAGACCAAUUAUUUGUAGCCUUGCCUCUAGUGCGGCACAAAUCAUUGACAUGGACUCCAAAACCCAUGCAGGACAUUUGGAAAGAAAGAAAAAGCUCUCUCACUUCAGAUUCUAAUGGAGAGACGAAAGCCGUAACAUUACUCCAUGAAGUGUCCAAUGUGUCAACUCCAAGUAGUUGGUCAAGUGCAGAGGAUAGCAUUUCCGACCGCUGGGAUGAUAUUUCGAGUUCUAACGGGCUGAAGAGCUCAUCGGAAUACGUGCAAAGAAAAGAAGAUGAUCAUCAAGUUGUGUGUCCACCUCAUCAAUUGGUGUGUUUCUUUUUAGUUUUAUUCAUUUCUUCGGUUUCAAAAUCUGAAAAUAGUAAAUAUUAUUUAAAACUUCUUUGGGAUAUUGAAUAUAAACCCAUAGUAGAGAGUGGCAUUAUGAUCCAUACAUAUAUUAAGUCUUUCCAAUUAUAAUUCAGUCGAAAGAGCCUAAAACAUUGUACUCACAACCGGAUGCCACUGUUGUGUUGGUCGUCGAAUGUGGUGAACAGACACAAAACUAGUGCAAUACUUUUCUAGUUCAAAAGAUUGAGAUAAGAGGAAUAAGUGGAAAGAAUAAUCUAAUAUAAAGAUAAUUCCUGUUCUCUUCUAGGAAAAGGAUCUGACAAACCAUAAAUUGUAUGAAAAACUACGAAGUGCACUUGAAGAGGCAGAAAAAUUAAAGCGCGAGGUUUAUGAAGAGACAUGCCGACGCCAAAGAGCUGAAAGAGAUUUAUAUGAGGCUAUGCAGAAAGUAAGUAAAUACUUUUUUUGUGAUGGUCUCUUUGCCAACUUAGUUAACUCAUCAUUUUAGUGUACUUAUAGUAGCCAUCCUCAUAUUUAGUAAUAACUUCGCUGCGAGGGUUGAAUCAGGAUGAGCUUUAUGGAAGCACUUCACUGUAACUGAUCUCAAUCAUCUAUUUGUCUUCGGAGAUAAUCAAAGAAAAUCAGGAAAAAAAUGUUUAGGGCCUAUUUGGCCUGGUUAGAGCUUCUGUAGAAGUGUUUGUUUGAGCAAAAUUAUUGAAAUGACCACCAUCAGCUUUUCUGUGAAAUCCCUCAAACAACUUACUAGUGCAGCAUAUGCGGAAACUUCAAAUUGGAGUUUCUGUUUUUGCAGCUCAGAAGCUCAUUUCAUUUGCUUGUUAUAGCAAAAGCUUCAGACUCGUUGUUUAUCGCAUACCUUGUUAACGCUUUUCGGAGUCGAAAAGUCGUUCCAGAAGCUCAGCCAAAAUAGACAGUCUUAUGUGCUUGCCUCUUUCAUCAGGUCAAAGCAUCAGAUGUUCUGCACAUCAAGGAGAUGAAACAAAAGAAAGAAAUGGAAGAAAAACUAACAAGAGAAAUGGUGGAAGCAGAAAAACUCAGAAAACAGAGAGAUGAAGCCCUUGAUGAACUCCAAAACGAACACGAGAAUAAAAUCGCAUUGGAACACCAAAACAUUCAUUUAGAGCUUCGUAUCGAGGAAUUGCUGCUGCAACGAGAUGAUGCAGUUAGAGAAGCAGAAGAGUUGCGUAAACAAAAGAGGGAGCAAACUGCAACUACUCAAGGAACUGUGAAUGUUGUGGAGUUCUCGUACUCGGAGCUUCAGCUGGCGACAAAUGACUUUGACAACUCCCUGAAGAUUGGCGAAGGUGGAUAUGGAACGGUAUACAAGGGUUUUCUCCAUCACACUGCUGUAGCUAUAAAGAUAUUAAACCCUCCAACAUUGCAUUCGCAGUUUUAUGAAGAGGUAUGCUCUAAAUAUCUUUAAUCAAAAAUGUGUCAACUGUCAAGGGGUUUAUUGCAGGUUUUUUCUUCCUAUUGUUUGAAAAUUUUUAUAACAAACAUGACCAUAAGGAUUGAUUGCAAGUUUAGUCCUUAAAGUUGGACUUGGACAACAGUGUUAAAAAUGAAACUGUUGAGGAUUUAAGUAAAUGAUGGCGAACUUCAGGACUACGUUGUAAUUAACCCCGAAUAUAAUAUUGAAUUCAAACUAGCUUACGCUUUUAAAUUAUUGCAGGUUAAUGUUCUCAACAAAGUGAGACAUCCAAACCUUGUAACCCUCAUCGGAGUAUGUAUGGAAUUUCCUGCUCUAGUUUACGAGUUCAUGCCUAAUGGAAGCUUAGAAGACCGACUAAUCUGCACGAAUAACACAAAGCCUCUUACUUGGCAGCAUCGAGUCCGAAUUAUGUCUGAGAUCUGCUCUACCCUGAUUUUUCUCCAUUCUUCUAAUUUAAAUGUAGUUCAUGGUGAUUUAAAACCUGCAAACAUUCUUCUUGAUGCAAACUAUGUGGCGAAAAUCGGUGAUUCUGGUAUUUCUCGGUUGAGCGACCAAUGCAAUGAGAAAACAACCCUCUACAAUAAAACCCACCCUAAGGGCACUUUCGCCUAUGUGGAUCCUGAGUACAUUAUUACAGGGAAUCUCACACCGCAAUCUGAUGUCUAUUCUUUCGGGCUCGUAAUAUUGCGCCUGUUAACGGGCAGAUCAGCUUUUGGGCUAGCCAGAGAUGUUGGAGAGGCUAUGGGAAAAGGUUCUUUGCAAGCAAUAUUGGAUCGAUCGGCGGGAGAUUGGCCCUUUUUGCAGGCUGAAAAUUUGGCACAGGUUAGUUUGCGGUGCUGCGAGAUUAAAAGAAAGAACCGGCCUAAUCUUGCAAGCGAGGUUUCGAAGGUGCUUGAGGCUAUGAUGAAGUCUGCUUCUUUGGGGUUGGCCUCCUUGUCUUUUCGAUCAGUUUCUGAAGAUGGUCGCGGGAUUCCAUCCUACUUUAUUUGUCCAAUAUUGCAGGUGAGAGAUUAUCAUGAUUGACAAUUCAACUUUUUUAUGAAUUCAGCCUAUGUUUUGCUUGAUUAUGCAGUAAAAUUUGACAACCAUGAUCUUCAGAAACAUCAACUUUUGCUGUUGUUAUGCUCUGUUCUCAUCACACUCAACCUCAGUUCAUCUUUUAGCUACUUGAAUAGAUGCUUUCAAUUGUUUGAACUGAAAAGAACUCUUUUGCUUACGCUUUUUUUAUUAUUUUAAAUUUUAUGAAUCACAGGAGAUCAUGAGGGAUCCGGUCAUCGCAGCGGACGGUUUCACCUACGAAGGCGAGGCCAUUCUGGGAUGGCUCGAGAGCGGCCACUUGACAUCGCCGAUGACCAACCUUAAGCUUCGGCACUCCGAGCUUAUCCCAAAUCACGCACUGCGGUCCGCAAUCCAAGAAUGGCUACAGCAGCAAGAAUGAUUUUUUUUUUUCCCCCCUUGACUUCACUUGUCUGUAUGAUGCAUGUUUAGAUAAAUAAAUAAAUAAAUAAAUAAAUGUGUAUACAGAGAAAAAGGAGUGAAAGUGAGGGGGGAGGGAACUGUAAUGGCAUUUUUCUAUGCUGAAUCAAAUGUGAUGCUAUAGCCUUUUAGAUAUACGUUUGGCUCCUUCCCUUGAAUUUUUUGAUUGGUAAUUUGUCUUUAUGAAUAUAUAUAGUGGAAUUGGUAUGUGAAGAGACAGAGAUUUAAUCUAUUUAAUAAAUGAAUGUUAAAGGUGUGGAUCGAACUUACGACAUUACAGAAUAAUGAGAGCUCUAAAUAGACUCUUGUAAUUCUAUAUCAUAUUACUUAAUAUAUCAAUCUAAUAAAAUAUAAUCUUAAACAGAAUAAGAGAACUCUAAAUAGACUCUUGUAAUUCUAUAUCAUUUUCUUAAAAAGUUAAUAUUAAAAAUAUUUUUUUAAUAUUUCAAAUUAUUUCAGAUAUGUUUUUAGACGUAAAUUUUAUUAGUGAACGAUUAGCAAUAAUUGUCAUUUCUGUGAAACUAUUAUCUUAUUUGCCCUUAAGAGCAAAAGAGGUAUUUUUGAUUUUUUUUAACUCAGGUGAAAAUUUAAUCCGAGUUUAAUCUGAGAUAACUUAACAGGUAUUAAAAGGGAAAAUAUUUAAAAUAUUUUAAAAUAACGAAGAACUAUACAAUGGGUAUAUAGGGACAUAUUACGUGUUAUCCUAAAAUAAUAGGCCUAGAAAUGUAUAUAAAUUGCCUAAUAUCAGCAUUACAUGUCCAACCGUGGUAAUUUCGCCUACCCUCCAGGGGCAUUUUCGUCACUUCAGGCCAAAGCAACACCAGUGCGAACCGGGCUCACGUAGUCCGGUCCGGUUCACUCGACCCGGAACCGCGUGAAUCACUUCACCGUUGAACAAAAGUCUUUAUUUAAGCAAAUCCCGCGUAGCAGCAAGCAACGACUUUCUCCACACAAGCAACAAAGACAAAGCUCUCCUUUUUCUUUUCUAUUUCUAUUUUUCUUAUUAUAAUUAUAGAAGAUAACAUAUGCAUAUUAUUAUAAACUUAGAAGUCAAUUACUGAAAAUACUUCGCAACUUCGCGGAAAAUUUUUUUAGAAGCUCUCUAUUUCUUCGAGUUCACACCACGAUUAAACCAGAUGAAUCAUAUUACGUGCACUGAUGUAAAAUAUAGAAUAUAUUAAACUAUGCUGUAGGUACGGGCCAUUUCCUUUUCUGUAAUAUCAUUGAAGUGGCUCCAAAACCUUCUGCAUCAAAAGUUUCAUUUUUUUCGUCUCAAAUAUGUAGAUCAAAACCUUAUUUUAUUGAUGUCUUUUUCACCUUCUCUAGCACGCAGAUAUAUUUGAAACACAGCAGCCUCUGCCUUUUCUGAUUUGCAUGCAUGCCAUUCUCUGAUUUCUGUUUCUGGGCAUAAAGAUCAUGUAUUCGAGAAGAGAUGGAUCGUCUCGAGAUACAGAGGAGGCGAUUUACGUCACGCUCGGGAAGGAAUUUAAGAAAGACAGUACCAACCUCUCGUGGGUCUUGGUGAACUUCCCGACGGCUCGAAUCGUCUUUCUCCAUGUUCAUUGGCCUUCGAAGUGGAUGCCCUUCAGUAAGUUCUUCAAAUCCAUAGCAAUGAAUGUCGAUAUAUCUGAGUAUUUGCUUUUCAUAUACGCACACCUGCUGCAGCAGAAACAUAAGCUUACAAAUUGGAUCUUUCGCUGAAACAUACUGGCUACUGCUUCUGUUCCAAAGCCAACAUAAAAGAGCUAAAUGAUUUCAAAUUCUAGGAAACAUCUCUUACGUGACUUAGCAGAAAAGGCGUUCCGAUAAAAGAUCAGCUGCUGAUAUUUGUUAUUUCAGUAGACUAAUUGAAACUUUUCGCUGUUCCUUUUGCUAUCAGACAAAAACGUUAAGAAAUUAUUGAUGAUAUUGCUGAUUAGAUUCUUUUACAACACCUGCAGUGGGCGGUAAAGUUUCACACAAGUUAGCAAAUGAACAAGAGCAGGAAUUGCACAGAAGAAAUGAGAGGAACGAAAUGCUCAAAUUGAUGUGUCGGUACAAACGCAUCUGUACGAGAAGAAAGGUACUAUCUAUUGUUUGCUUUGCACGAGAAUUUCUUCUAUUACCAAACAUACUCUUCGUAUAAACUUGACGCAUUGGUUGCGUUCAAAAACAACUAAUUUUUUCUAUUAUGAUACCAGAGGAAGAGAUUUGUACGUGAGGCUAACAUUUACUUGUAAAUACGCAGGUGAAGUUAGAGUACGUAAAUGAUGAAAAUGUUCUAAGAGGUAUUAUAAAUCUUGUGAAAACAUUUCGAGUAAAGAGAUUGGUUACAGCUUCAAGGUAAUAUGAAAUUAAAGACGUUAUGUUCCUAUGGUUCUUGCUUUUCAGCUUUCUAAAUUUAGGCAUGCGCAAUUGAUAUUUGUUAAGACGAAAAGGAAGUAAAAUUCAUGCUUUCCUGGCAUCCAUUGAUCGGUUAACUCUCUAAACUUAAAUAUGACGAAAGUGCGCGGUAAGGCAAAUACACUCACCUGAUCUUACUGGGUUCAGAAACUCGAAUGAGAUGAUGAGUUGACAUGCAGAUCCAUGUCGAAGCAAGCUGAACUGCUCGAAUGCUGCCAGAUAUGGCUGGUCCGCGAUGGAAAUCACAUCUCCACCAGGUAGGCUCGAUAUUCAAAAGAGCAGCCAUUGCUCCAAAUUAGUUGCUCUCAAUUUCUUGUUUUCUUUCUUCAUCCAGACUGUCACCAAAACUUUUUUCAGUACAAGGGACUAUAUGCAGAGAAUUCAGUUUUUCAAAGGUCAUAAAUAGAAAUCCAGAAUUGCAGAAAGAUAGUAUAUGAGUUUCUCACAGGCGUAUAAAUGAAACUUUCAACAUUUCUUGUGCAGCGGAGCUAUUCGAGAAGAUACUGAGACAAAAGUUGAGAAUGAAGAAAGUCAAGAAUUGUCUAUACCUGCACUGGAGCCAUUAACCAAUGAAUCUGAAGCAUACGCAGCGAAUGAAUCUGAAGCAUACGCAACGCCGUCGAGUGAUCUGGUGCCGACUUAUCAUUAGCUAUCCUCUAAAGAGAAUACCAUAAGCACCGCUUGUCACAAACAUUACGUGUAUGAUGAAAAGGAAAAAAUAAUCAUGAUUUAAAACUCCGGAUUUUGAGAAGCUUCUAAUUUUUGGAGUAGCGAAGCAAUUCCAAAAUGCAGGCUAAACAGUGGAGUAUGCUCACGUAGCAAACUCCACAUCACGGAAGCUGAUGGAAACAUUAUGUGCGAGGAUUGAAUAAAACUUAAUCACAACCAUCUUAUAAAUCUGAUUAUGCAGGAUGAUGAAAUACCGAGUGAUCAAGAUGAGAUUCACACUCUCACAGACAGAAGUUUAUGUCACUCGGACGUGAGUCAGAAAACUGAGACCACAGUUCGCGAAAACGAAUCGCCAUCGGUAUCUAAUGUUCCAGAACUCAAUUUAAUUUUACAGACACCUACUUUAACCCGUGUAUGUGUGAGAGCGUAUAGCGAGAGAAAGGGAGAGAGCAAAUGGUAUGGAGGUCGUUUUUAGUCUAAAAUACUACUGUCUGCCAAACAGAAAAUAAACAAAAAUUUAUAGUUCACCUGAAAGUAAACAUCUGUAUGGACUUGAGUCUUUCAUAUAUUAUUAACUUAUGUUAUUUGCUUUGAAGGAAAGCAACACCACAACUGAUGAGAGUGGAGGCGAGAUGUUUUCUGAAGAAGCUCCAGAUCGCCCGGUUAAGCAUAAGAGCUUCAGGAAUGAUGCAGCUGAAGUCCAAUUACUAUGGGUAAUUCUCUCCCACCAAUUUGCUUGGCCCAACAACUGGAAACUUAUACGGUUUGAGCAUGUCACAAAGAAAGCAUCAACUAAAGAUAAAACCACUUCAAUUACUAUGGUUCUAUAAAAAUGAAUAUUGAAACAAGAAAUUUGGUGAUUAUGUAAGCAUUAGUUUACGGAUGGAGGAACUGAUGCUCCAAUUGAUUAAAAUGUCGAAAAUUUCUGGCAACCUAAACAAUCAGAACAUAUCGUCUUUUGCAGGCAGAGGUUAAACAGCUUAAAAGAGAGGUCAAGAAGUUAAAGAUCCGUCUAAAGAACGAAAGUAGUAUAGCAAGCAAAGGAAAGGCCGUGUUCUCAGAGCAGAAGUUAAAAGGUGUUGGAGACAACCCAAAUCCACCAAUUCCAGAACAUGUCACAGAAUUCUCCCACUCAGAACUUAAGCGAGCAACCAACAAUUUCAACCGAAGAAACAUAAUUGGCGAAGGAGGUUACGGCCCGGUCUACAGAGGCAAACUGCGUGGCGCCGUGGUUGCGAUAAAGAUGCUAAAUCCGAAGAGCAAACAAGGCCAUCCCGAGUUCCAGCAAGAGGUGAAUUUCCUUUCCUUUUAAUCCAUGCAACAGAACACUUCUGAAAAAUUCUCAUUCUAAGCAGAUAAAAAAAAUAUAUGUAAGUCAACAGCAAUCUUAUCAGUAUUAUGUAAUACGUGUUUCCGAUUACCCAACAGAACCGAUCACUAACCAAUAGUUUCUAUGGUCUCUCCAGGUUCAUGUGCUAGGCAUGAUCAAGAACCCAUAUAUAAUUAAACUAAUGGGAGUGUGCUCAAAGUCAUGUUCUCUUGUCUACGAAUACCUCCCCAGUGGCACACUGAAGCAACAGCUUGUUCGCGCGCUAUCCUGGCAAGACCGUGUCCGUAUACUCGGCGAGCAACGCUCCGCCCUCAUUUGCCUCCACACAAACAAGCCAUACGCUAUAAUCCAUGCCGAUCUUAAGCCUCAGAAUAUACUUCUCGAUGAGAACAAUAUAAGCCGCCUCGGAGACUUUGGCACUGCUAGAGCGAUACUCAACGACCCGUCGAACCAAGAAACUAUCUGUCGAAAGACGAACCCGAUGGGGACUACGGGGUACAUGGACCCUAUAUUCUUGAUGACGGGAGAGUUAACACCUCAGUCCGAUGUGUAUUCAUAUGGUGUCGUAACUUUACAGCUUCUGACAGGGCUUCUGGAAUUGAAUAUAGCUGAGCAGGUGGAGGAGGGGCUUAGGAGGGGGGUCGCGAGGCAGAUUCUCGACGGUUCUGCUGGAGACUGGCCAGCAGUGCAGGCUGAGAAGCUGCUGAGGUUGGCCUUGAGGUGCUGCAGCCUCGAAAGGAAGCAAAGGCCGAGCCUCGAAUCAAAGGAAUGGAGAACACUCGAUAUAUUACGGGCUAUGGCAGGUAAGAAAAUAAGCCAUGUGUAGGUAGGUAGAAAAACUUAAGAGCAAGCGUAACAAAGUCGAAAAAUGCUUCAUAUCCUGACAUGGAGUUCUUCAUACAUAAAAAAGUGUCAGAUAAUAACAGAUAACAUCAGAAAAGUUGAAAAGAUCACAAGGUGUGCAAAUUGAGACCUUUGAGGAUCUUCUCAACUCACAAGUUAAUCUCCAUGGGAAAAAAAUUGUUGCACAUUUACUACUAGGUUCUUCGACGCAGAAGCAACUUAAGUUAGUUUAGGUUUCUCUAAGAAAAUGCACAACAUACAAUGGCUCUGCGACUGCGACAGCGACAGCAGCGACACAUUGUUAGAGACAAAAUUCUAGCUUUUCUCUUAUUGCGUGAUACUUUCUUUCGAACUUGCAGGGAAAUCAAGAAAACUCGAAAGCACGAGCAUCAAAAAGGGUGCGAUUUGAUCUACGAUCGGAACAAGGAGAGACCUUUUCGAAUUUAACAGUGUGCGCGCUACGUGAAUGGACAUGAAGAAACAUAGAUUACAGUGUGUACGUACAUGUACAUAGUUGUAGUUAUGCAUGUAAACUAUGAAAUAACAGUCGAAAUUGAGCUCGAACAUUUGCCGACUAUUUCAAAGGCAAAGAUUAGAACAAUUUGAGAUUGUAAUUUGUAUAGGAAAGAUCAUGAGAUCCUGGACAUCAUAACCUAUUAUUGUUACAACUCAAUAUAGAUUUUCAAGUUGAAAUUUUGUUAAAUUUGAUGGAUCUAUUAGCAAUUAGUUGAAAAUAUUAUAAAUUUGAAAUUCAAUGAUUAAAAAAAAAUUGAGGAGAGUGUAAACUGAAGUCCAGGGGCCUAUUUCAUAACGGUCUAUAGUUGAGGGGGUACUCUAUAUAUUGUUGUACCUAAAAUUAAGUACUUGAUAUAGAUUUAUCUACGGUAUUGUGUAGAAAUUGGAAUGAAUCGAGAUUCAACAGUGAAGUGAGAGCGAAAGAACAAAAAUAACAAGAAUAAUAAUUCAUUCGAGCAAGGGGGCAAAUGAGAACCGGAAAAAAUAGAGGGGGCGAUACGCGAAAAGUACCCCGCUUUCGACCACCGACCACGGCGAGAGGCGGCGCGAGAUCGACGGAUCGGGGAUGAAGAAGAGGAUAUAUAGAUGCUGAUUGGGCGGUCCACGGAUGACGUGGUGAACAGCGUUCACGAAAAUAUAUAUCGUACGAAUGGGUUAGUGGGCCAAAAUUCAGCCCAUAUAUAGCAUGGGCCGUAGGCCCGAGUGGGUUCGGCCUAGUGUGUUUAAACACUCGGUACCCUUCGGAAAGAAUAUUCUAUGGACCUGGUCCACCACAUUAGCCCUGGACCGCCUAUCAAUGUGCGGCGAUACACUGGGUAGUAAUUACUUUAAUUGAGGUAAAAUAAAUCAAAACUAAUUAAAGCUUGGUUUGUAAUUAAUCAUCCAGAAUUUAUCUGAUUAAUGAUUUAUCACCUAAAAUUUUGAAGUGUUAAAAUUUUUCACUUAUGUUUGUCAAAAGUUAGCCACUUACAUAACUGUAUGCAAAUCAUACUUUAAGUGAGAAUUUAUAUACUUAAAUUGAAAAAUAAAAUUUUCUAAUCAGCUUAUCAUCGAUGUGCUCGAAUUUUUUUAUUAUAAAAAAUUCAUUAUUCAUAAAAUUUAGAUAGUAAAAUAUAAGUAGGACAAUUUUUUUUGUGAUUUGGGAACCUUUCCUCUAUUUGAAUUUGGAGAAAUUCAAAUAAAAGGGAUGUGAAUGACCAAGAGAAAAAAUUAAACAUAUACAAAAAUUAUUUAAACUAUGAAAUAUUUUAAAUUGAUAAUCUGAUCUUUAUAAAUUUUGAUAUUACUAUCAAAUCUUUCAAUUUGUUUGAUUAGAGUCAGUGAAUAAUAUUUUAAUUUUAAAAUUUAUACUAAUUAUUUAAUUAAAAAAAUUUAUAGUUGUGAAAUUACAUGAAGUACACUAAUUAAAUCUAUAAAAAUAAAUAAUGCAUAUAAAUUUUAAAAUCAAUCCGUUGAACGACUCAAAUUCAAUAAAUUAAAAGACUAGCUAGAAUAAUUAAAAUUUUAAAAGAUUAAGUAAUGGGCUCAAAAAUGGUUUUAUAAUUAGGUGGACGUUUUUACCCAAGAAUAAAUUACUUAGUUUAUGGUCUACGGCCGACGUGGUGGACGAGGUCCAUGCAAUGGUUUCCCUCAAAUCAGGUGAAAAAGGAUCAUCAGGGAGCUGUCCUGAUCUACGGCUCUCGUUGCCCCGAAUAUUUAAACCCAUAAUUAAUUAAUUAAUUAAUUAAUUAAUUAAUUAAUUUGAUUAAUACUUUUCUCGGGAGAGCACCCGAAGCUGCACUACGCUACGCGCUCGUCCCCCUCUCCCCCUCUAUUUCUCCCACGUCCCAACUUUUCCUUUUUUAUUUUUUUUUCCCUUUUUUUUUAUAUAUAUAUAUAAAUUAUCAUGUUGGAGUUGGCUCCCUAGCCACUGUCACAUGUUGGCCUCUCGAUUUCGCGACCGUCUUCGUCCUCUUCGAUCCCUGUGAUCGGUAGGUGAUUACGCUCCACUUGUUGAAUCGUGCUUUCUAUUAGUUUGAGUGGUGUGUUGCUGAUGUUGAAAGUAGAUAAGAAAUUUAAUAUGAAUUUUGGUGUUGCAAAUGUUAUUUCUUAUUGUAUUCUAGGUAGGGAUGAUGAUCCUUAAUUUUUCUUUUCAUUUAUUAAACCGGUGAUGGUUUGAUUUGUUCCAAAUUCCAAUUUUGCGGAUCUGGUGUGUGAGAUUAGUGCUGCUUUGAGCACAUUGUGAUGGGAAACGUUUUUUGGAACCGUUUUCCUAGUGCUUCAAAGUUUAAUGCAAUUGGAACUGUUUUUGGUUUACAGUUUCAUCCGGAUCUGAUAAUUGUUGUUCUCUAUAUACACGUAUUUUGAUCUAGAUAAUGCAUCCAUUAAUAUGAGUAAGCUCUAGUGAUUCCGUUUCUAAUUCCCUUCUUGUUCGAUGACUAGUUGAUUUUCUUAAUUAGUAGCAUUUCAAGUGGUGCUUUUGUGAUUUGGAUAGGCUGAUAUUACCUUAUUGACAGAAGCACUGAUCAAUUCAUUUAUUUUGAUGCUUUCUCAUAGUUUUGCCACCUAAAAAUUGUAAUCUUUCAUCAUGUGUGGACGUUUUUCCCAUUUGAAUUGUUGGAAUUUCAUGUGUUGAUUGCAUGAGCCUGAGAUCGGUUAUUGUAACCGCGAACGUGUUCAUGUUUCUCAUUGUGGUUUUAUUUUCCUCAAGGUGUAGGCUCCGUUUCUAGAGGGUUUGUACUAGGUUGUAAGCUGCUUUUGAAAAUUUGCUUGUUCUUCUGGCCCACUCAGCUUGGAUAGUUGUUAUUUACGUAAGGCUUUGAUGACAACUGAGACUUUUUUCAAGAAUUUAACCUUUUCGAAAAAGAUGUGUGUGCACUUCCUUUUUUAAUGGAGUUCUAUCCGCCCCUUCUGAAUUCACUUCUUGAUACUUCAACUUCCCACUUACCACUAAGUUAGUGGUGGAAGAGACUGCUGCUGUAUGUACUUUUUUUUAUUUUUUAGCGGCUUAAAUGCAUGUUUUUAGCUUAUCUGGUCAUAUCUUAUCAAGUUGUCAUAGUGCUGUCAUUUCCUGUGAAUUCUUUCAUAUAAUAGGGACUGGCACGUUGAAAGUUUGGGACUCUAAAUGUCAGUUGCCAAAGUUAGCGUAGGUAGCACCCCGGAUUCAGUGGUGCUUGAGAGGAAUAGCAUGAAGCCAGAGAGGGAAGAGCAAGACUCCCUUGAAAAUUUUACCAGGCAAGGAAUAGAAAAACAGCCAUUGUUUUCAUUUUCCAGAGCUGGUGAUAGUUCUAGCCAGUGGUUAAAUUUGCUCCAAGGAAUAGAUCAGCCGGGGAGCAGCAGGGUUUCAGAAAGUCCAAAGUUAGAGAAUUGCAUAGAAGUAAGGCAGGAUAGAUAUCUUGAAGAUGUUGAUAAUAGGAGCUCUGAGAUGAGCAUGAGGCCGAAGAGCACAUCUGAUCAAAUGCAAGCUCUGAGAAUUUCUGAUGCUGUUGUUGCUUUUGCUCAGGCUGCUGCAAGGGCGAAUGGUGAGCCUGAAAAAUGUAUGUCAAGUGUCACAAGCAGGUAUUUGGGGUUGUAGCUAGUCAUAGGUCUUGUUUCUUGCUGAAUAGAACAGAGUUUUGCCUGACAAAAGAACUUAAUUCUUUUUCCUUCUGGCAGAUCUUCCUGGAUGGCCGUUAUUGUCUCCAAUAAAGGUGCAAUUGCAGAAAUGUGAAAAAUGUUCCCGAGAAUUUUGUUCUUCGAUAAACUAUAGGCGCCAUGUCCGCGUACACCGCCGGUCUCUUAAUGUAGAUAAGGUACUUGUCUUUGUUAAUUUGAUAAAGCAUGUUUUCAUGAUCAUAAACGACAAAAAGUAGGAAAGUAACAAUUUUCUUUUCGACAAAAGAAAUUGUCCUUACCAAACAGCUUAUCAGUUCUUCCCCCCAUUUUAUCUUCUGGAUUCUAAUAUUACAAUUUUUUUCCACUCAAGUAGCUUAUUCUAUCAAAAUCUGGAUUCUGACAUUCAGUUGACGUUUACAGGACUUUCCAAAGAACAGAGAAUACAUUGGUGCUUUCUGGGAUAAGGUAAUUUUCAUUUGAAAGUUGAAUUUAUUCAGUUAGAUCUUCAUUACUGCUUCAUAGUGAAACUUACUCGUAUACCUUACUCGCCUAGAAACUAUAAUUAUUGGCCAAUUUAUGUCCUACUAAAGUCCCAAACCAAGAUCUAUAUUUAUCUGGAUCAAUGAUUUGGUCAUGCUUUAGCUUAGGUCGUUGUCCAUCAGAAAUGUAAUUUUUUUUGUCUCAAUCUGCUACUAAUGAAGGUCUUUCUCUGUGCUGACCAGUUAUCAUUGGAUGAGGCAAAAGAUAUUUUAUCACUCGCAGACGUGGCUAUAGAGGUCAUUAUUUGGGAACUAAACUUUUCUUGUAUUCUGGUGUUGAGAAGUAUCCCGAUCAAACAGUCCUGUUGCAAAAUAAUUUCGACAUGUUUUUAAUGGUCGAUGCUUGUUCGCUUUGUUCCCCUGUUAAAUUUGUGCUGUUACUUAAUAUGUCCUGGUUUUUCGACUUCUUGUAACUUGUUGUUCAGGAGGUUAGUGGUUCUUCAAUUAUAAGAGCGUUAUCUUCAUGGUUGUUCAAGCCAGGGUUUGCAUCAAUGCCGCUGACGUAUGCCAAGGCUGGCACUUCUCUUUUGGUAUGAUACUCAUCUAUGUCUCCUUUCUCCUUAUUUCUUAAUUGCCAUUGAUGUCCAUCCUAUCCAUGUCAUUUUCAUAAUUUAAAAUGGUAAUUUGCUUUUUCAGGAUAUGGUCCAUGCCAAGCCAUCCAGGUUUCCAUUAUCAUCACAGGAACUGUUUAACAUUCUUGAUGAUGCAAGUGAGAAGACCUUCUUGUGUGCUGGUACUUCUGUUCCUGUGCAAAAGUUCUUGUUCAAUGGAGAAGCUGGAAGAACUGCUUUGGAGAUGAAAAAUCUUGUCGCAUGCACUAGUUUCCUUCUUGAACAAAAGCUGGUAGAGCAAAAUCAUUAUCCAAGGUUUUCCGUAAUUUUCAUUAUUUCUUACUCGGAGAAGUAAAUAAAUUUCAAUGCGUAGGUCAAAGCAUGGCUUGCUGACAAGGCCGCAGAAGCUUUGCGAUGCCAGAAGCUGCUUGUAGAGGAAGAGGAAGCUGCUCAAAAAAGGUAAGUUGGUAAUUUGAGUCCAGAACAACAAUUUCAUAUGGCUUGAUUAAACUGUAUCUUUAGAAGAAAUUUUCCAAAUUUAAUUCGUUGACCUCUCUGUACUAGCUAUUUAAUGAUAACACGAAUGUGUACGGAAGUUGCUAAAAGAUGGUAUCCUUUCACUUUUUAGUGAUAAUAUUCCAUGUAGGCCAGUUGGCAGACUUUCACCCGUAAGAUUAGGUUCUCGUCAACUGUCGAAUGAUUUUUUUCCUGUUUUGGUAUUGUUUGGAUGGUAAUAAUUACUUUGCAGGCAAGCGGAGCUUUUGGAGAAAAAAAGGAUGAAAAAGUUGAGGCAGAAAGAGAAUAAACUGAAGGACUCGACUCAUCCAGAUAAUAACUUUUGUUCGUCCGGGUCUACACAAGCCAUAUGUGUAAUGCCAAGUCCUAGCUCUCCACCCGAUUCUGACUCAAAUACACCAGAAGUACUACUCUCUCCGAACCCAAUUAGGCAAUCUGACCCUGAUAUUGAUUCUACUCCGAAAUCGUGCUCGUCUGCUGAUUAUCUUGAUCAAAGUAUGGGUCACGAAAUGCAAAUGGGUUGUGAGCAUCAAGAACAAAUUCCUUCACGGAACCAUCCCAAAUCAACAAGAAUUGUUCGUAAUGACUUGGUGAAGAAUACAAACUACAAGGAUCCCAAGGCCAUUUCCCAGGCUAUUGGGCAUAAAGUUUGGAUGCAGAAAACAAAGCCCAAGAAGGAAGAAGAGGGUUCCUUUGGUCAAGUAGCCAUUGAAAAUAUAGACCACCCUAUUCUUCAUGAAAACGCCAAAGUUUUAAUAGGAUCAAUCAGUGUCACACUCGGGGAUAAUAAUGGCCGCUGUAAUUAUCAAGAGAAGCUUGGCAAAUCUGAUUCAGGUUUCAAUGCCAACGGGCACUCUGUGACGCUUCAGAGACCAGUGGACCACCAUGAGAAUGGUGAUUCUGCCGCAGUUAAAGAAGAUAAGAACAGUGAGGAUCAUUCCUCUCCUGAUAUUGCAAACCCAAUAGCCAUUAAUAAAAGCUUGCUUUCUUCUGGUGAAAUGAGGGAGAAAGACAUUGACUGCUACAAAUUUUCACAUGGAGAGCCGAUGAGUGAUAAUUCACCAGGCCCGGAGAUAUUCUCGAGCAAAGAUGCAGAGGCUUUUCUCUCACAGAGUAAGAUAUUUUCCUUUCUGUUUGUUGAGCUUUUAUAUAAUGUUGUUAUUUAGCUACGUUCUCGCUUGUCUAGCUAUUAUUUACCUAAAGUUCCUCUUGAGCUUGGUUUAUGGGCUGAAAAUAUCACGAAACGGAUCAUCUUUAUGAUGUUAACUGUCCUCCUUUCCAUUUAAAGCUAGCUUAUUUCUGUGUAAUCAGCCGUCUAUUCGGCAAGAUUAUUAUGCAAGCACUUUAAAUUGCUGGUGUAGUGACAGAACAAGCUAUCUUGUGCAUUGCGGUUACUUGCGUAGUGGACCAGAAGAGGGGAAAUCGGUUACCAAAUUGCUCAAUGGUGUGUGACAAUACCAACUUUUUGUAGUGCAUUACAUAUAUAUUAAUACCAAUCUUGUUGUUAUCCAGGAUGGAAGGCCGCAAUUGCGGCUGAUCACGUGAAGCUUGUCCUUCCUCCUGAAGCCGAAGCAUCGGACUGUCCCGAUAACACGGCAUGCGGGUGCAUCAACACACCACUCUCUUCGGAUUUAAGGGGAAGGACAAUACUCGGCAGCGCAGAGAAUCGGAUGGACGGCAUAGCCUCACUUGAAUCAGUUCUGAUUAUUUCCAAGCCCAAGUUCCGGCACAAGGUUGAAAAGAAUUGCAAGCUCAAGUAUGUCCCCAAGCAAACUAGCAACGUUUAGAGGCUAUUAGAUAUUUACGAGAAAAAAAAAAAAAGACAACCCUCAACCCUAGAUUGCAUUUCAUUCUCGCGCGCUUUUUCAUUGCCAUGCAGAGGUUCCAGUUUUUUAGCAGAGAUCUUCUGUGCUUGUGAAAAGGGUUUCAUUUUUCAGGGUAUAUGAUAUUGGAAAUGUUUUUUUCCCCUGAUUUGUUGGAUUUUGUUCUUCGCAGCUGUAUUGCAUAGGUUUUUUUUAAAAAAAAUUUUGUUUCGUGUAAUAAAUUUGCUUCCUAGCUUAAUUUUUGUACUCUCACAUUAUCCUUUUUCCAGAUAUAUUUCUGAUAAAAAGUUCAUUUAUGUCACAAGGUCUUUAAUUUUGUUUCUUCGGCAUAUAUAUUGCAGUGCUGUGCUGUGCUGUGCUGUUAAUCAUCCUGGAACCGCACUUCGAGUAUAAGAUAAAUUCUCCGCCGCAGAUGAUGAUAUAUUAAUAUGUGUUGACAAAAAGCUACGUAAUGUUUUGAGUUGUGAGCAUGUAGGAGAUAUGGUAGUAGUUGAACAAACACAAAAAAAGAAAAUCAAAAUCAAAAUAAUAAUACAUUAAUAUAACCUAAAAAUAAAAAAUAAUACAUUCCAUAUGUGAACAAUAGAACAAUAUGUAAGCAACGCGGUCUACAUCAAGCAUGAUGAACUGGGUCCAAGGAAAAAUUAAUUUGUCCUGGCGUAAUGCAAUUGGUUCAGUGGACCAGCGCUACCCCUAACAUUUCCGUACUUUCCGUAUGCAAAUAAUUACGGUCACGGUUGACGUUUCGUGUUGUAUUUUUUUUUUUAACACUAAUUUUAUAUAAUUUAACAUAUUGAAUUCUUUUAAUUGGUCAGCAUAUAAUACCAGCUAAGUGGUAAAUAAUAAUUUAUUUAAAAAAUAUAAAAAAUAAAAAGUUUAAUUUUAAAUUUUUAUUUUUAUUUUUUGCCAAAUAAAGAACUACAAUCAAAGAAUUAUAAAUAAUUUAACAUAUACUCUUACACUUUUUAAUAUAUAAACUUUUAUAAAAAAAACGAACACCAUAUUAAACAAGGUCUAAUUUUAUAUAUAUAAUAAUUUUGUUUAACAAAUAAAAAGACAAACACGGUAUUGUACUUGGUUUGUCCUAGGAUAGGAAGUCCAAGAUCAUAACUUUUCUUCCAUCGUGCCGAGAAAGUUACAAGUCAACAACCGUUUCUAGAGCAAGUGGCAAAGAAUUUGAUAGUUGGUAUUCGAGACCCAAGUUCGAAUCUUAGUUGAUUCACAUUUUCAGCUAAGUUUAUUUCUAAAUGAAAUAGACGAAGCGGGUAGCGUACUAUCUCUCUCUCAAAAAAAAAAAAAAGUUACAAGUCAAAAAGUACGUAACUUAUACUAUAAAUUAUUUUGAAUUAAUUAUAUAAUUUUUUAAAAUUUUGAUUAUAUUGUUUUAGCUUUUAAUUUAUUUGAUUUGAGCCGGUUAAUAAAAAUAAAAUUUUAAAAAAUUAAAUAAUCAACUCAAAAUGGUUCAUAAUUUAGAGAAGUUCUGUGAAUUUUUACCAAAGUUAUUUGAGGAGUAAGGAGUGAUUUAGAUGGUAAAAUAUAAAGAAAAUUUUCAUAAUUAGCCAAAAAAAUUUAAAUUACAGAAAAUUUUCUGUAAAUACUUGUUUUUUCACUUUUCCUUUCUAACUCUUAAAAAUUUAUAUUUUACCCCCUCAACAAUUCAAAUUGUUGCAUUUAGCCUUUCUUCCUCAAAAUUUUAUUACUAUUCCGUCAAUUUCUUAUAAUUUAUACCGAAAAUGUGUAUCAAAAUAACAAAAAUAAAUUAGAAACUAUUUUUUCUUAUAGAAGAAGUAAUGGUAAUUUGAUUAUUUUGCCUUCUCUAUUAAUACUGUACCCUUCUAAAAAUAUUUAAAAGUUUUAAAAAAUAAAAUACAAAAUUUUUAAAAUCAGAGAAGAAAAAUAAAAAAAAAAGUAGGUAUUUAUAAGAGUUUUCUAUUACUCAGUCCAAAAAAAAAACCACCAUUGUGAAGCAGUGGAUCAUCGGAUGACGUGGUGCACCGGGUUCACGAAAUAACUUCUUUUGUGGACCCAUCUACCCCCGUACUAAACUCCCACCCCACUCUCGUCCUUCGUCUCCUUUCUCUCUCCCGACCCUUUCUCUCUCUCUCUCUCUCUCUCUCCUCCUCCAUUUGCCCUUUUUCCCCUCAUGGUAUAGGAGUCCCCUCUCCUUACGCAGUAGUAAUUGGUGGUGGCGGCGCCCAUGGCGAGGGGGAUCGAGCUCCGGGGAUCUUCGUGUAGCGCCGUGGCUCUUCUGGGAGUAGCUCUUCUUCUCGCGCUUCCGAUCUCGGUCUUGGGGGGGGACAUCGUCCACGAGGACGAUCAGGCACCCAAGAUCCCCGGAUGCUCCAACAACUUUGUCCUAGUAAGUUGGUUCAAACCCCUUUCCCCCAAUUUCCCCUUUCUUUUUGGGUGUUGAUGCGAACGAAUCUAAGUAGGUUUUGGGGAAAAUUGGGGCUUCGAACUGUGUGAUUUGGUCGCGAUCCCAAUUUCCCCAGAUUUCAUUGUUCGUUUGCUAUAAUUUGCUCCUUUCCCAGUUAUUUUGCGUAGAAAUUUACUUGUGAAAUCUAUCAUCAUUUGUGUUUAGUUGCUUAGUAUGAUUUGGUGGUGAUGUACUGUUAUUGACCUGCAAAAUAAGGCGAUUCGUAGGUACAAUUGAUGGUAACGCUUAAGCUCGGGCUUAAUUUUGGUAGUAUGAGACAGGAUAUUUGUUACGAUGCUGGUUAUUAGAGAACUAACCUUAGUUUUUUUUCUUUGGUAAAGCUUAUAAUUUUUGUGAAUAAUGAAUGCCUCAGAAAUACAUGUUUUACGCCAAGUUUUCCAUUCUCCUAGGCAUCUGCUACUUAUUAGCAUGCUUAGCGGUAUCAUUUACUCUUUUUGUCAGGUAAAAGUGCAAACGUGGGUUAACGGCACUGAGGACAGUGAGUUUGUAGGUGUCGGUGCUCGGUUCGGUCCUACAAUAGUCUCGAAAGAGAAGCACGCUAACCGGACUCGGCUUUCUCUAGCCGACCCUUCUGCUUCCUGUGCUCCGCCUGAGAAUAAGGUUCUUUCUUUUGUUCUUGUCUUCAGUUCUUUUAUUGCAUUCAUUGUGUGUUUGCAAGCUCAAAUUUACUACUACAUUGUUAGGUUGCUGGUGAUGUGCUGUUAGUGCACAGAGGAAAAUGCAAGUUCACUGCAAAGGCAAGGGUUGCAGAAGCUGCUGGUGCUUCUGCUAUUCUUAUUAUAAACAGUAGAAGGGGUAUGAUUGUCCUGCUCUCUGCCUGUUAUGGAUAUGAAUCUAUGCAAAAUAUUAUUUAUGUGACCUGGAAUUUGUUAGUGCAGGAUUUGCAUACUAUACAAAUUGCUUAUAUGCUCAGCGGAUAUGGUGGAAUGAAUUUUUUUUUUUUUUUUUCAAUUUCUGAAUCUUCAGACCAUCUUAAUUAGCUUGGUCGUUUCAAAAAGAACCAUACAUGAUAAUCAGCUGAAAAAGUUUGCCAUCAAAUAGUUUGCUUGAGAUUAUCUUCGCCUUGGCUUCUGCUUCGUUGGUUUCCUUGUCACAAUAGGCUGUAUUCUUGCCUGUUAGAUUAUUUGUCAAGCAGAUCUAAUACAAAUUUGACCUGUGGCUGCCUAUAUUUCAUACAGGACAAAAAUUGACUUUAUUGUUAUUGGAUAUCUUUCAUUAAUAUUGACUCACCUUGAUAAACAUACCCUGUGGCCCCUUAUAUUUCGUAUAGGACAAAAAUUGACUAUAUUGUUUUUGGUCGUCUUUCCAUUAAUAUUGACUCACCUUGGUAAACAAACAGUUGAAGUAUAGGUAAUACUAAGGUUGAAUAAACAAAUGUAUGUUAGGGACAUUACUUUGUCGAACUAGAAUUCUAAUCCUUCCAUGAGUUGACUAAAAAUAAGUGAACCCCUACUAGAGGGCUUGUAGAUAGCCUCUUACAUAUUCUUGUUUGCUACUCUCUUUUUUUUUUUGGUUUAAAUACGCACACUUUCUUAAGCUCUUCUGCUUCUAUCCUUCAGAGCUGUACAAGAUGGUCUGUGAUCACAAUGAGACAGAUUUAGAUAUAAAAAUACCUACUGUUUUGCUGCCAAAAGAUGCCGGUGUCAGCCUAGAGAAAAUUCUUAAUCGUGGUGACUCAGGUUGGUCUUCUUAUAUUUGUAGUCUUUUGCCACUUGCUAGCAUCAUACAUGUAGCAUAUUUCUAAUUGUUUUUGUGAUCUUUUACUUGUUUUCUUGCCACUUUACCUAAGUAAGUGAAUGCAGCUGGCUCCCUUAUUCAAUAGAAGGAAAGCUAAAGUUAUAAUAUUGUUUAGUAGGUCCGAAGUGCUAGCAUUUUUGAUAGGUAGUCUUCACAAGAGAUGUGUCUUUUUUCUUUCUGCCAUGCGGUUAUUUCAAAUGUACAACAACCUUAGUUUGACAAAUAUCUUGCAUUUUUUUUUUCCCUUUUUGUUUUGGUCAGUUGCUGUGCAGUUAUAUUCCCCAGCUCGUCCGGUGGUUGAUACAGCGGAGGUGUUUCUGUGGCUUAUGGCGGUUGGUACCAUCCUCUGUGCAUCAUAUUGGUCAGCGUGGAGCGAUAGAGAAGCAACCAUUGAACAGGAGAAGUUAUUGAAGGUUCUUAUCAUCAAGUUAGCUUUUACAGAUAUAUCCUGCAAAAGCAUUAACUUACAUGUUUACUCUAUUAAGGCUGAAUUUUGACACACGCUCAUUAAGCGUCCUUACAUAAGGUUGGAGAGUCAUCCAACUUAUUGGAAAAUUUACUUUUCUAUUAGAAACGGAUUCCUAAAAAGGGAUAUCUAUGCAACUACAAGGAUAUGUAUGUAUGGAAUCUUAUUUUGAAGGGCUAUAGGAAAAUUCAAACUUUGCAUGGAUUUGUAUGUAAAUUGAUGAUUUUGCAGGAAUAUUUACAUAUAAGUAUAUAUAUAUUUUUAACCCAUUUUAAUUGAAGAGUCGGGAGAAAGUAUGUUUCCAUUUCUAAUUUAUGGAUGGACUUAUGCUUUUAGGAUGGCCAGGAUGAUGCAUUGAACUUGGCAGCUGCAGGCACCACUGGUAUUGUUGACAUCAACACAACAUCAGCAGUAUUGUUUGUUGUGAUUGCAUCAUUCUUCCUGAUCCUACUCUACAAACUUAUGUCAUUUUGGUUUGUGGAGCUUUUGGUGGUUCUGUUUUGUAUUGGAGGAGUAGAGGUAAAGUUCAACACCAUUGUCAUUGGAUUUUUUUUUCCUUUUUCUUUUAUCAUGUGCCUUCUUCUUCACCUAAUUCUAAUAAUUGUCUAUUGAGUACUACUUCAGGGCCUGCAAACAUGUCUGGUGGCUUUGUUAUCACGGUAUGCAGUUGCUUCAUUUGCUUUCUGUUGAGAACUUUCUUUGUCAUGCUGCUGAAUUCGGUAGUCUAGCAUUCUGAACAUCUACAUAUGCAACCAUGUUUUCUUUCCUUUUCAGAUUGCCUUUUCUUUUUGCUGCUUUAGAAAUUUUUGAUGCAGGAUUAAGCUGAUUUUAGCUGCUCUUUUUUUUCUUUUAAUUCUAACCUGCAAAUGGUGCUUAAGGAUUCCAAUUUUCAUAAUAUUUGUAGAGUGAUUAUGAUUAGAAAGUUUUUGAAUUUUCCAGAUGGUUUAGGCGUGCUUCGGAAUCUUUUGUCAAAGUACCCUUCUUUGGGGCUGUUUCAUACCUCACUUUGGCUGUAUUCCCUUUCUGCAUCACAUUUGCUGUCAUAUGGGCUGUUUAUCGGCGCGUAUCUUUCGCCUGGAUUGGCCAAGAUAUUCUGGUAAGUACAUAGUAUUGCCUUUUAGCUACUACAAAUUAACCAUUAUUUUCUUUCAAUAUAUGGUUUAGCGUCUGCUUAGUCUUGCUGCUGGAACAGCUUCUCUGCUCCAAUAAGUAGCAGGCAGGCUUAAGCAUUGAGAAGACGAAAGUUUCUGUAGCUCUUCUUAUGGGUUGGUGCUGAAAUGAAGUUUCUAGCCCAAAAACUGAAGCUCUAAUUGAAACUUCUGCUUUUUGUCUUGUGGGAGAUGUCGGGAGUACUUGAAUGAAAAAAAAAAAAAAAAAAACUGUUAGUGCUUCAAACAGCACUCAUCCGGAAGCUCCUGCUGGGCUAACAUGGCCCUUAGGCAAGUAGCAAAUGCAUGUUCCAUCUUUUGUUGUUCUUGAUCAUAGAAAGACAUGUACGAGUCAAAAGCUGCUCUCUUUCCAAUAUUCAUUAUAGCUUAGCUUCUAGAGCUCUAGGACAUUACUGAGUCAGAUAAGAUUAGAUAUGUACUUAAUAUCUGUGUAUGCUAGUGUACUUGGUUUUAUUUCAACUUCAGCUUCUCAGAUAAAUGUAAUCUACAAAUCAUUUUGAUUCGAGAUAUUCUUUCAUAUUUUCGUUAGUUGUUCCAUAUAAUUAAUUAACCAUCAUUGUCUUGUGCCUUUUCUGUUCAGGGUAUUGCAUUAAUAAUAACAGUCCUACAAAUCGUCCGGGUACCUAAUCUCAAGGUAAGAAUAUUACUCUUCCACUAUAGGCAAUUCAUUGCUCAUGUAAAGGCGUUUCUUGCUUUACAUUGUACAACUGAUUUCGCUUCAUUAUCCAUGAUUUCGGUGCUUUCUAUCAAGAGGGAUAGAGUCUCGGCUUUCAUAAGAUGUUCAUGAUAAUCUCUCUUCUUUGUUUUUUUAUUAGCUCUAUAUUCUCUUGAAUAUGAAGACCUAUAACUGAUUUAACAUGACCACCAGGUGGGUACUGUGCUUCUCAGCUGUGCCUUCUUGUAUGACAUCUUUUGGGUUUUCGUUUCAAAGAGUUGGUUUCAUGAAAGCGUGAUGAUUGUCGUAAGUAUCAUCAAAAGACUCCUGUUUUAUUGGUUAAUUGAAACAAUCGGAAAGUUUUAUACACUGGUUAUUCUCUUUCCAUAGGUUGCACGUGGUGACAAGACUGGGGAAGAUGGUGUGCCAAUGUUACUUAAAAUUCCACGAAUGUUUGAUCCAUGGGGCGGAUACAGCAUCAUAGGUUUUGGUGACAUCCUUCUACCCGGUCUGCUAAUUGCCUUCGCAUUAAGGUGCAUAUUCAUCAGAACAUUUAGUUAUUGCAUUAGAUGUAAUUUUUUUUUUUUCAAUAGGUCUGGAUCUUGAAAGUUGAGAUUGUUCAUCUGAUUAUGAUAUCUGCAUUCUUAUCUUUACCAGGUAUGAUUGGGCUGCUAAGAAAAACUUGCGAGCUGGCUAUUUCUUGUGGUCAAUGGUGGCUUAUGGUUCCGGUAAGACUUUUUUAUCUAUAAAAUGCAGGGUGCAACUGAAAAGAAAAUUAAAAAUGAAAAUUCUAAGCACAAAGCUCAGUAGAAUAGUUGUUUCACUGAAUCAUAAUGUAUGAUUUCGACCUAUAAGUGCCACCGAGGCCCACACCGAAAAUGUGUAUAAAGCUGUAAUAUUUCUCUAUGCUCUUGCUGUUUACUAGUACAAUUAUAAUUAUGAUCAUUAUCCCUCAUCUUUAUACCUUUUCUUUUUUCCUUUUUGGUUUUUAAGAAACUGUUAUCAUUAUACUUAAAACUUUUUCUUUUACAGGUCUUCUUAUUACUUACGUGGCUUUGAAUCUUAUGGACGGGCAUGGUCAACCGGCUCUUCUUUACAUUGUACCUUUCACAUUAGGUAAGUAAGAACCCUUUACGGAACAAGCGUACAAUUAAAAGUUUUCUACGCAAUAUACAUUUAAAAGAUCAAUGUUUAUACUCCCUACAAAUUAUUGCUCAUAUCACUUCCUGUUUAUUUCCCUCAAUUCCUUUCUCAGGCACCUUUUUAGCACUGGGGAGAAAGAGGGGUGAACUAGGGAAUCUAUGGACAAAAGGAGAACCAGAUAGAGUGUGUACCCAUCAUAUCCAAUCUCCACAAUAGGAGGCUAUCGUUUCUCUGAGUAGUGUAUAAAUGUAUUGAUGUACCCAUAUGUAAUAGUAGUUGUUAAAAUACUUGGCCUUUGCUUGACCUAGCUAUAUGUAGGUUAAAGAGGUAACCGAGCUAUUAUUGCCUUCUCUGUUUGGUGAAAUUAGUUGGUUACUUUGACGUCGAUACUUCCGCAUUGACUGUCACACCAUAUGCUUACUAAUUUGGGGGUAUCAUCACCUUGUAAGUUGUAACCAUGAACUUUUCAAUUGCUCUAUGUUUUCUUCUCCUUCUUCUUCACUACUGUGGCGCAUGGCACUAAAUCAUGUGGGCAUAGCAUAUUGAAGAUUUUGAGUACAACACAUGUUAAGAAUAUCAGUGAAUCACGUCGAAUAGAAAUGAAUCUUGGUCUGUAAAGAUCCAAGGUGUUUUUUUCUACCAAUCUUUGAGCUGGUUGAGAGUCUUUUUAUUCAAGCAAUGAUGGUUAUUCCCUGUUUAAUACGAAAUUAGCGGGGGAUAAACCUGCUUAACUUCCAAAUUGGUAUGGGAUGCAACUGUACCUCAAAAUAAACAGAGUAUGAUAUCCAUGUUUGUUUCCUCCACAUUUUGGCCAACAAAUCGAGUUGCUUAGAUUCAGUACUGAAAAUAAUUGGAGGAUAAUGUGCAAAACAGAUAAUGUGUUCGCCAACACACUAAAAAGAGAUUGGUCGAGUGCAUGUGCUCAAACAUAAUUUGGGAUGGUUUGUACCCGUUCGAAAAUGUUAGAUCAGAAUAAUGAAUAUUCUUCGAAAUGUAAUUCAUAUCCACUAACCAAAAUGGUGCCCCUUAAUUAGUUCAUUUGUAACCCGAAUUUGAGCACAGGGAUACGGGCUUUUCCUCCUCAAUGUUUGGAGAAAAUCUCUUAAUUAUUUUGGUUUUUGCUUGUGAUAACAUCUAACUAGAAAAAGCAUUGCCGAUGUUUUUUUUUUUUUUUUUUUUUUUUUUUCCUCCGCGUUAUUUCUCACCAAAAUUCCUUCAAUAUCUCUACCGGCCGAAUCUUCAGAAAAUAUUUUAUAACAAAAUAAAAAAGGUUACUCUAAUGAAAAUUAAAUGGCCUAUUAUAAAGUCGAAAGGCCAAAGUUUCAAACUGAUUUUUCUAUUAAAUUAUCUGCUUUCUUCGGCUAGAAAUAUAAAAUAAUUAGAUUUUAAAUUAUCUGACAUUUGAAUAUGAAUUAUUAAAUUUUUAACCACUUUUUAAGAUGAAAUAAAAAUAAUCUUACAAGGAGGACCCGGAGAGGUAGCGAGCAAACGUGGCACUCAAUGAGUGGCCGAGUGGCCUGCUGGCAUCGGACGGUGCCACGUGGCCGACAGCGAAGGGAUUUGGCGGCCGAGUGAGGUGGCCUAUUGUGUUAGCACUUAGCAACCAAUUUUUUUAUUAUUAUUUUUGCGCCCUCUUUUAUUUUUUUUUUUAUUUUUUAUUUUGUUAUUCUUAUAUUUAAAUAUUAUUUUUAUUUUUACUUUUUUUUAUUCUUUUCAACAACUCUCUCAAUAAUGGCUUUUUCGCGUUGUGGUAGUAGGGGUGGUGGACUAGAUCAUGUGGCUAGAAACCGAGGUGCGGCGUGGGGCGGCCUUAUUUUGCUCGCCCCUUCGUCUUUAUACGACUCCCUUUUGAUUUCUUAAUUAAUUUAGGAUAAAUUUUAAAUACUAUUUCUGUCGUUUCGUUUUUUUAAUUUUAGUAUUCUGUAAUAAAGUGUAUUAAUUUAGUAUUAUAUAAUUUUUAUUUUUACCGUUAAAUUUUUAUUAAAUCAUAUACAAAAAAUUUUAGAUACACCACCUAUAGUUUAUCGAAUGUUUACCUUAGUAUCCUUUAAUUUUAACUUUAUCAUUAAUUUAACCAAAAAAAUUAGUAGAGAGAAUAACGAAAAGAGAAAAGCAAAAUCACUGAAUACGAAAGUGAUACAUUUUAAACUACAGAAUGCUAAAGUGAGAAAGUGCGAAACCACAUGAGUGGUAUUUGAGUUUUUUUCAUUAAUUUAUACAAAAAUGGUCUCUUCUCCACUUUAUUCUUAUUAAUUAAUAUUAAAUUUUAAAACUUAUUUUUUUAAAAAAAUCAGUUAAAAAUAUAAAAUAAUUAGAUUUAAUCCAUCCCGGAUGGAAAGAAGGAAAAUGAUCCAAUUUUGCUAACCACAUGGUUGAUUGAUACUUUUAAAUGAUGGCGAAAUAAUUCUAAUUUAAAUUUCGCUUUGAACAAAAAUAGAUGUUUUAUAUUGUAUUUAGGAUGAUUUUGGACAAAAAAAAAAAAAAAAGAUAAGUGCUUGAGCCUUCUUGUGCUAACCAGUAACUCGUGAUAGCACCAAUUCAUUUUAGCUUACAUGAUAACGUUGUUUUGAUUACCCAUAAAAUUUUAUGUACCUAAAAAAUUCAACACAUUGGGUGAUUCAUCUUAUAUAAAAGGAUUAUUCAAAAUCUCGAGUAUGAAAAUUUAGAUCAAUUAUUUUCAAACUAAUAUAUUUUUUAAAUAUUUUUUGACCGAGUAUGGUAACUUCUCCAAACGAGAGGCCUGAAAUAUAAGAGCAAUGUUGCUUGUACACAAAUUUUUUGAUACAUAUUUUACGGCAAGAUAAAAAAUUAAAAUUUAAAUGCGCGACUUAUUAUUUUUAUUUUUUAAAAUAUUAGAUAUCUAGAACAGACAAAGUGUACGAAUAAUAUUUUUUAAAAUAUAAUUAAUUUUUAAUCAUUUAUUUGAUCAUUUAUGCUUAUUAAUUACACAUCUAUUUUGACUAUAUAUAUAUCGUAUUUGACCAAUAUACUCACUGUAAGUCCAAACGUACCUGAGCAUAAAUAUUACACUUAUCUAAAAACAUUUUAACACACUUUCUUCUAAUAUUAAAAUUUUUUUAAAAAAUAAUCUAAAUUUUUACAUGAAUAGAAUGUAAGAUUUACGUCCACCGCUUCACACAGAAAAAAAAAAAUGAAGGUGUUCUUUUUCUUCCCCUGUCUAUAUAAACCCCCACCCGCUUCAUCAGCUUCUCCAUAGUAGAAGAAUUAAACAACUUCUCUAUUUGGUAGUAAUAAAUUAAAAAAAAAAAAAAAAAAAAAAAAAAAANAAGAGGAAGAUGUUCGGCUGGGCGCGAACAAGUUCCCAGAGCGGCAGCCGAUCGGGACGGCGGCUCAAAGCCAGGACGAGGGGAAGGACUACACGGAGCCGCCGCCGGCGCCGCUGUUCGAGACCGGGGAGCUGGUCUCAUGGUCGUUCUACCGCGCCGGCAUCGCCGAGUUCGUGGCCACCUUCCUCUUCCUCUACAUCACCAUCCUCACCGUCGUGGGCGUCAGCAAGUCCCCCUCCAAGUGCUCCACCGUCGGUAUCCAGGGCAUCGCCUGGGCCUUCGGCGGCAUGAUUUUCGCCCUCGUAUAUUGCACCGCCGGCAUCUCAGGCACAUCCUUUAUAUAUUUACAUAUAUAACAGCAGUUAUAAUUUGAAACUUUUACUUUUUAAUUAUAUACAUAUUACUCAUAGUAUGUAUGUAUGUAAAAAUAUAGGCGGGCAUAUAAACCCGGCGGUGACGUUCGGGCUGCUGCUCGCACGGAAGCUGUCGGUGACGCGGGCGGUGUUCUACAUGGUGAUGCAGUGCCUGGGCGCCAUCUGCGGCGCCGGCAUCGUCAAAGGCUUUCAGACGGGCCUCUACCAGAGCGCCGGCGGCGGCGCCAACGCUGUCGCCCCUGGCUACACCAAGGGCGACGGCCUCGGCGCCGAGAUCGUCGGCACCUUCAUCCUCGUCUACACCGUCUUCUCCGCCACCGACGCCAAGCGCAGCGCCAGAGACUCCCACGUCCCUGUAAGUUACCACUAUUUCUGUAUUAUUUACUAUCAGGUUGAUUUAAUCGUUAGUUAUAAGUGACUGUUUUAAGUUCAAUUCUCACGUUGUUACCACAUAAAAUUCGGGGUGUUACGAUACAAAUAUUACAACAUAAUAGAAUCAAAAUUUUUAAAGUUUAGAUACGCGACAAUAAUUUUAUAAUUUGCAAACUCUUACUUACAAAAGAUUGCAACAUAAUAAGAGUUCAAUGAUUUUUAACUAUUGUUUAUUUUUAAAAUUUUGACUGGUUUAAUUUUUUUUUUUAAAAUUUUUUUUUGCAGAUUCUUGCUCCUUUGCCCAUUGGGUUUGCUGUCUUCCUAGUUCACUUGGCCACCAUCCCCAUCACUGGCACUGGCAUCAACCCUGCUAGAAGCCUUGGAGCAGCCAUCAUCUACAACAGGGACCAUGCUUGGGAUGACCAUGUAAGUUGCACUUUACCAAAAAAAAAAAAAAAAAGAAGAAUUUUUGGGGUAAAAUAUAUUAAUUGGGUAGUCCCCAUAAUAUUUCUAAACUUUUUUGCUUACAUAUAUUUUAGUUCUUUGAUUGUGAAAAAUAUACAAAUUAGAUUGUGUAGGGCUAUGUAUACAUUUUACUCAGAAUUUGGAGCCAUAUAUGUCACUUUCAAUUAAUUUUUAUUUUGGCUAAAUUAUAAAAAAAUUAUUUAAAAAAACUAAAUUUUUUAGUUUUUCUUUCUAAUUUUUAAAAACUUAUAUUUUACCUCAGGAUUACAUCACAAUUUUAUCUUUUUUUAUAAUUUAUACCGAAAAUAUCCUUUAAAAUAAUAGAAACAUGUUAUAAAUUUUUUUUUAUCGAAAAAAUAAGGAAAAUUUUUGUCAGUUCGCCCUCUCUGUUAACAUCGUAAUCUUCUGAAAAUAUUUCUAAAAUUUUAAGAAGGCAAAAUAUAAACUUUUAAAAGUUAGAAAAAAAUAGAAGAUAGGUAUUUAUAAGAAGAGUUUCUGUAUUUAGCCUUUUCUUUCUUUUAGCACUUUAUUUGCUCUUGUUUUUUAAUUUUUAUUUUUCUAAUUUUCCUCAGUGGAUUUUCUGGGUGGGGCCCUUCAUUGGAGCUGCUCUUGCUGCCAUGUACCACCAGGUGGUCAUCAGAGCCAUCCCCUUCAAAAGCAGGUCCUGAUCAGAAAUAAAAACUCAGAAGCCCCCCUCUCUCUCUCUCUCUCUCUGGCUUGUUAUCUUCUUCCAUUUCCUCUGGUGUGGUUGUGGUGGUCCUAUGGCUUCUGCCCUUUGUGGUUGUAAUAUGAAUAUCCAUCAAGUGUGUAAAUUAAGCACUGCUUUUUCUCUAAAAAGUUUCCAGGUGCUGCUGCUUCAGUGUUAUGUCCCUUCUUUCUCUUUUUCUUUUUCUCCAUGUCCUUUAUCUCUUUUACCUAAUAUUCUUCAAGCUGUCCCAAAUCCCACUUAAGAAUAUUAUCUCUUACAUAUAUAAAAAAAGAUUGGUCCUUAAAUUAAGGUACAUGAUGGGAUUAGUUGGCACUAAUUAACUAGCCACACAAUAUAAUAGUAUGCUAAUAACAUCAUCUAAUAUUCUGACGGUGUAUCUAGCGCACUUGAAUUAGGACUUGCUGUUUGGUAUCCGAUGUCACAGUUUUUAAGUUUAAUUAUUUUAUAUUUCUAACUGAAUUUAAUUUAAAAUAAAUAAAUUUGGUAGGAAGCCACUAUGGAGCUCAUGUAGGGAGAGUUUCUGUUUUUUUUCUUUCUUUUUUUUUUCCCCACUUUUGUGGUGUGCUUUGGAAAUUGCAUGUGCUCAUCAUAUCUAAAGUGUGCAAAAGUGCCCAAUCAAAGACAAGUGGAGUGUUUCUAAAAAGAAAAAAAAAAGUAAAAAGAAAAUAAAAAAAAGAAAAAGGAAAGAUAAGUAGAGUGCAAUGCUUUCCACAGCUUUUCCUCAUCCAAAUGCCCUAGGCCAUAUGAAUGGUCCAUAAAUGUGUUUUCUAGAUCUACACAUUUUGGUGAUAAUGACCUGUUUCUCUUUGUACAUAGAAAAGCACUGAAUUAUUAAUUGGAAUUCGAAUUUAGAACUUCUGAUACCAACUAUUAAGUUCUUAACCAACUGUGUUAGAUUUAAUGUACAAUUAUUAGUAUAAAUAUAAUAGGAAGAUUGUUAUUGUUUUGCGAGCCAUAAACAUCAUGCUUUGGCCCACACUGUUUAGCUUUAGAAACUAAUAUGGGCUUGCGUCCAAUUUUCAUAUUAUGGCGCCAAAGCCCAAGCUACAAUUAGACCUAAAACGUGCAUUGCAUUAUUGGGCUUGGCCCAAUUGGGCCCGGUCCACCAUGCGCUUUGAGCUGGGCCACUUAUAGCCUCCACCAAUCAAGACAAGCCACGUGUACACGACGUAAGUGGGCUGUUGGAUCGUUCUUACGUGGACCGGAUGGACGGGCUAUCAUGGAGGCCUAUGGCCUCGGCCCACGGCCCACAUUGGCCUAACAUCAUCCCCAAUAGGAGGAAUUGAAUUCAAAUUUUUUAAAACAUUUAAAAGUUUAAAUUUAAAAAUUUACACAUGAUUAAUUCUAGCCGCCGGAUAAAUUGGCUAUUCAUUAUCAUCCUUAUGUUAUGAAAUGUAUCGAUAGGACUAUGAUUCCAUGAAUAUUUAUCCAACAAUUCACUCAAAAUAGAAUAUAUAAUUAUCAAAAUCUUUUACAUACCUGUUUGGCUCAACUUUUGCUGCUACAAUCCCGUCGCACUGCAUUGCAAUGGCGAGAAGUUUCGAGUCCAGACAUAGUAUGCAUUGUGCAAGUUUUCGGUUGUGACUUAUAGUGUAUUUGCGCUCCUCACCAAAAAAAGUUGUGUGUUUGCUCUAUGCCAACAUAAGCCACAUUGUAUUAAUUAGAAUCAACGAGCCAUUAGAUUAGGAUAAUACAAACAUAAGCAUAUAUAAUAAAAAUUUAUAAAUGUAAUUAUGUUUACACUAUCCCUGCUCCUAUGUUUUUCCCUCCAAAAUGAUCACAAGCCAUAAACUAAUCAUUCCAUAGGGUUGGUCUCACUUUUCUUCAAGUGUUGUUAUUUUUUUAAUUAGCUUAGAUUCUUUUCAAUAACAAGUUGAUAAUUAAGUCACAAACAAUGGGGAUAAUUAAGCUUCGUCAUCGUCCUACCACUCCAUUCCUCGCUCGCCGACCAAGUGCUUUUCAAAGAUCAUCAACUUUGGUGCAUCCAAUUUAGUGGGUGUACUUUGUUCGAAGUAAAAUAUAGCUUAAGCUGUGAGAAAGUGCUUUUCUAAAUUAAGCAACAUGAAUUAAUAGUUUUUGUAAGUUUUGAGGCUUUUCUUUUUCUCAUGUUACAUCAAUCUUUUGAGUAAUACGCUAUCAGAGACAGUUGUAAAUCUUCGUAGUUUUUAGAAGACAUGAUUUUAGAUGAGCAAAAAUGUUAAAACCAUUCGUAACCUAUUUUUCAUUAGGCAGAUCUUUUGGUUAAGAAUAAAAUCUCUCAUGCAAAUUAAACAAAUGCAUAGAUAAUCAUCAUGCUUAAUUAUGGUGAUUAUGGUUGUUAUUUUAAUUAGUGAACAUAUAAUUGUUUUGAAACGGAAACGAAAAGUCCCGCCCUUUUGGCUUUGAUCUUCCUGUUCUUAUGGUCUCAAAAAGCCUACUUUUUAGGGACACCACCACACCUUACAGAGAGGCCUAUCAAAUUUUCUAUUUCGAUAAAAAUUUCAUUAUCAAAAUGAUGCUUUACAUAUGUUGGGGAAAAAAAAAUUAUGAUGGUUAACCCCAACUUAUUUCAAAAAAUGAGGAUCAAUAGCACGAGGAUCAUCGAGAAGUUACCUUUAGUUUAAACAAAUAAAUAACUUCCAUUUAAUAAUUCAGAAGAAGCAUACAUAGAUGAGUGAAUUCUACGUAUUCUAAGUCUAGUUUUUAAUCAAGAACAACUAUUGUGUAUUAAAGAUAGUUUUUAUGAAAGAAGAUAAUUUUAGACAAUAAUUAUCAAUCCAACUUUUUGAAGAUUAAUAUAAAUGGAAUAUGAACUUUAAUUGAACAAUGUAUAGUAACUUACUUCAAAUUACUACCCUAGCUAGUAUGUAAUAAUGUAUUUAUAUCACCUAAUUAAUAGAAUCAACUAGAAGGAGAGUUCCCUUAAUUACAUGUACUGAUGUACAUAUACAAAAAAGUUCUAAUUAUUAUAAUUAUUAUUAUUAGUUUCCUAGAAAUGCUUGUCAUGGAGUGCACGUUUUCCUAACCCCAAAUUUGAUUGAUAACGCCUACUAAUCCUACUCACCAGAAUGAGUCACAUUGAGUUGAUGUUGAUCCACCUCUUCCCAACCAUCACUGUUCCUUGUCUCUCUUUAUUCCCACAUUAAAAUACACCAACACAUUCUCUCUCUCUCUCUCUCUCUCCCUCUAAAAUUUGCCACUUCAACUUCCUCCUCUAGUAGGUAUUUUGAGUAAGAGUAAGAGAACAACCUUCUUCUGUUGUGGUUAGUACGAUUUAAACUGUUGGUUUAACUGGACCAGUAUUUUGUCCUGUGGCGAGAGGUCAUGUUAGGUCGAGUCAUUUUCGAAAUGGCGUGAGACUGGGUGAACCGAGUCAUGUUCGAAAUGUCGUGACGCUGGUUGGGCCGAGUCAUAACCGAGACCCGUGGACACUGUGUCUGUACGCUUUAAGUGAAUUGGUUGCGUAUUUUUAACAGCUCGAGUUUUUGGAAUUGAUGAUUAGCGCCAACGAUCUGACAUAAGCCACAAAAAUCUGAUAUUUAAAGCCAGAUCAACUUUAGAAUAAGAUGUUAUCGAAAUAUGCGAUUCUUUUAUCUCGAUCAGACGCCGGCAUCAAGGACUCUGAAAUAGAAAAAUAAUAAAAUUGAGAGCGUGAAAACUAUUAAACAGUGGUCCUUGAUGGGUACAGCUAACAACAAUGGCCCGUACUACUAGGUCUAGUAGAGACAACAAAAGUGAGUAAUUAAAAGAACAACGAAAUAUUUUGUACAUCAUUAUCAUUAUAUUCAUAAACUGUCUACUCAUUUGUUAUCUGUUUUUUAUAUGCAUAUAUUUAAUGUUCUAAUUGCCAUAUAUCAAUAUUUUAAUCCAAAAUUCACAUAAUAAUGCGUUUAAUCUUCACAUAUAUUGAUUUGAGAUCUAUUUAUGAUUACAUAUACGAAAAAUUAGUGUAGAAGUAAUCUGAUUUUUCACCUUUUUUUAAUUAGCAUGGUUGGUGAUAUUGGUCACAGAACAAAAAGAGAAAAAUAAAUAUUCUACAAAAUAUGCUUGAAUAUAUCAAAUUAUCAAAUUUUCAAUUCAAAGUGGCGAUAAGUAAGUGAAAAAAAUAGACUCAAAUAUUACAGUCAAACAUGUCACUGUUCUAAAAGAAAAAAAAAAUCUAUAAUAUAUGGUAUGCAAAUUAAUUACACCACAUUUUCUUUUACUCCACAUAUAAUUUAUUUCAUAUUUUGAUAUCAAAUUAUGGGAUUUUCUUUUUUUAAAAAAAAUUUAUUUGAGAUUGACAACAUUGUGGGGCCACUUACAAAUUUUCCCACAAAUAGCCUAUUCAGUGUACCACUUUUAGUUUUCAGCAAAAGACAGGGAUUAAUUUGCAAAUUUCAGGAUGGAGAUCGCAUAAGUAGAGACAAUUCCACGUGUCGCCUCGUAACAGCAUGACGUGGACGCCGAGAGACUUGAUAUUCUCACUCUCCAAUUACAAAAUUAAGAUUUAUAUUAGGUACAAUUGCGUGAAGGUCCCCUCAACUAUAUUCAAUUCUCAAACCGUCCCAUCAAUCUUUGUUCUAUUAAAUGCUUUUUAAUUUUUUAUUUUAAAAUUAAGUAAUUUUGACAAAUUUAUUAGUUAUUCCACCUGAUAAAAAUUAUAUAAAUAUUACAAAACAACUAUUUUUUCUAGAAAUUUAAAUUAUUAGAAAAUGUUAUUCUUAAUUUAUAUAUUUAACUAUUUUUUCUAAUGUACAGACUAAAAACAUUUUAAUUGAUACAAAAUAUAGACCUAAAUUAAUUAAAAACAAUUAAAUAAAAUUAGUAGUCUCGUGGGAUUAGAACUAUAACUGCUAUUAACUAAUAACUAAUAAAACUAUUAAAUCUAAUAAAAUCUUAACCUAAGUAAUUAAAAUAAUGCAAAUUAAAAAACUAGAAAUUAGAAAAGUGGUAUAAAAAAAUGAUAUUGAGGGGCUUGUCUCAACAUUAGCAAUAUUUGAGAGGUCUCCUGUAUAAUUUCAAAAUGAAUGGUGCGUUACAUCAACCGUCCAUGUGGCGAUAUUUUCAAAAUCAACGGUGCGGAUUCACUUUUGGGCGUUAUGAAACUUCUAUAAGUAAAAUCUUGCUAAAUCAGAAAACUGCCACGUCAUCCACUGCGGCCAUCUAUUUCCUUAUCAAAAAUCCAGAAAUAAUAACAAUAAUAUAAUUUUAGACAAAAUGUAUGAUUAGUCCCUCGACGAUUCUACUAUUAUGUGUACAUUUAGUGUAAAAGUUUUAAUUUUUAAACUUUUAAGUGUAUUGUAUUUAAAUUCUUUUCCGGUAAAAAAAAUAAGGCUGAUAUUUUCUGAUUAAAAUCUAAAAUACAUUGAUAUAAAAUUUUGAAACUUAAUAAAUGUCUAACAUAAAAAAAUAAGGACCGUUUUGCAAUAUGUGAAUACUACGGAAACGUCCACAGAUUUAUCCCCUUUUUUUUAAGCGAAUACUUUCUUCAGAAAACGUGAGCACGACCUACAAAAAUAAUUGAAAAAAGGAGAGUAAAUAUAUCGAAUUUUUUUUAUUUUUUAUUUUUAAAUUUUUUUGAUCUCUAAAUCACAUCUUCUUCUUUCUAAUUCUGAUAUCUUUUUUAUUUUUAUUUUUGUUUUUGCCUACGGGAGAAGAAGAAGCAGUAGCAGUAGCAGUAGCGAAUAAGCAUUAAUAAUUAUUCCGAUAAUUAUAACUUAUUCUCCAUUUUUAUCCUCGUCUUAUUCCGCCCCUUUGUUUGCCUCUAUUUGUGAGAUUAGGGCUUCGUGUUCUUCCUCGCUUCGCCUCCGAAAGGGAGAUCGGAGAGAUCGAGAACCAUAGGAGUAGGGUUUCGAUUACGGUGGUUACGUUUUUCGUAGGGGUUUCUUUGAUCGGGGAGAUCGCGGGGGGGAGCGGCGGCGGCGAUGGCGGAUUUCCGGCAGAGGGAGGCGGAUCUCGAGUUCCGGCGAGAGUUGGAGGAGCUCGUCCGCGGUCACCUCGACGGGUGCAUGGGAGCGGCGCUCUCGACGUCCUCGUGCGGCGUGAGCGGGAGCGACGACGAGGGCGAGUACUCCCACGGCGGCGAUGGCGGCGGCGGAGGAGGAGGAGGAGGAGGGGGGGACGGGAUAGCGCGCCGGAGGCGGAGGUCGGACCUGGAGGCGGAGGAGAUGAUCACGACCAUGGAGCGCCGGAACCGCGAGUCGGAGCUCAUGGCGCUCGCGGGGCUCCACACCGUGUCGAUGCUCGAUUCGUCCUUUCUCCGGGAGCCUCGGAGGUCCCCGUCGUCGUCGGUGGUGGAGCGGCCCGUGGCGGCGCGGGCGCCGUCGAUCCUCCAGAUGUGGCGGGAGCUCGAGGAGAUGUCGGCGGCCAGGGAGGGGAGGGUCGGUUCUGCCGUUUCCGGUGAUCGGAGCCGCCCCAAUCGGCGAGAAAACAAUGCCGGAUCGGAGGUUGCGAGCGAGAGCGAGUAUGAUAGGCACAGCCAGUGGGAUCACAGAACCAUGCAACCGUCGCGGGGUGAAGAGGAGGAUCAGGGGUCUAGCAGGGAGCAAUCUCCCGACAUUGGCGACGCAGAGCAGGAGAGGGAAAGGGAGCGGGAGCGGGAGCGGGAGCGGGAGAGAGUGAGACAGAUAGCUCGCGGAUGGAUGGUGGAAACCGGCGCGGCGGACGGGGCAACUAGGGCAUCGCCGAGGGAUGAGUGGCUUGGCGAGAUCGAGAGGGAGAGGGUGAGGUUGGUGAGGGAGUGGGUUCAGAUGGCGAGCCAGCAGAGAGACUCCCGGCCUAGUAGGAGGGAAGCGAGAGAGAGGGAGAGGGAGAGGUUGGGUGCGGAUCAGGAGGACGGCCCUCCGGAGCUUAGGGCGAGGGAAUUGCCGAGAAUUCGCGGGCGGCAGGCUCGGCUUGACCUGAUCAUGAGGAUGGCGAGAGAGAGGCAGAGGGAGCUUCAGAGCUUGUCGGAGCAUCGGUCUGUCUCCGACUUUGCCCACCGUAAUCGCAUUCAGGUCAGCUGUCUUAUCUCUAUCGAUAAAAAUCUCUAGCUCGUAAAAUAUAGUCGGUAAGUUCAAGAGUUGUCUGAUAAUCAGUGUUUUCUGGUAAAAGCAUAUCAACUGAUUAUGUGUGUUAGUGCUGCUUAUGUAGCUUGAAAUAUUGCUUCUACUAAAAUUGAGUAUUUUGUAGUAUACGACUUGCAUUUUGACUAGACAUAAUCUCCUAGGCACUACUUAGAGGUAGAUUCCUAAGAAAUGGGAUAUCAACUGAGGAGGAGAGGCCGCAAUCUGUGGCUGCAAGAGAAUUGGGCCAGCUAAGGCAGCGGCAUCGUGUCUCUAGUUUGAGGUAUGCUUUCGUCAAAUGUACUGUAGACGUUAACCUGUAUCUUUUCUCUUCAACAUUGCGACCAAGACUGCCCUGCAAUUGUAUUUUGCACUAAGUUAAUGAUUGUCUUUUCCAUAUUUCAUUGUUUAUAAGAAUUUCAUCCGAAAAUUGAUGAGUUAUGAAAUUAUAUAAGCUACAACAAUUACCUCUCUGCCAGUAGGAACUUCAGAGGGAACAACGUAUACAUAUUACGUUGCAUGUACAGUGUCACAAUUUUUGCCAUUCACAUUUUAAUGAUGCAUUAUUGUUUCUAUAUUGCGACACUGUACCUUCAACAUGAUUUACUCCCUGGCACUGGGAACUUCAAUUUUUUCUGUGUCUUUUUUCAUUUUAUGUUUCAUAUUGGUUAUUAACUUUAUUACACAAAUUUUCUUCUGUCCUUGGGAAGAAAUAUCUUUGGAUUUUAAUACUUAACCGGGUCUCACUGUGUUUAUAUUUGAUUUAUAAUAUUGCUCUUCAAUAUUAGUUCUCGUCACAAGUAAAUUUUGUUGGAUUAUCUGUAUGUAUUGUCCUUUCUAACUAGAGAAGGACUGUGCUUCAGAUUGGAGAACAUUGUUCGUGGCCAUGCUGUUAACCAAUCAGAUGAUACGGCCGCUCAAAAUGUUGAUCUUUCUACAAACGAUCAAUCUCUACCAACCAGUGAAGUCGAAAUUUCCACUGACAACCAGGAGAUAACCCUACCCAGUAGCGAGAAUGUUGAUAUGCAAGAGGCUGGGAUGAAUGAUAGGGUACAGAUGGCUACAACUGCUGGGCUAGAAAUAAACACUUCAUAUGAUAGUGGAACUUACAUGGAGGAGCCUCCAGGGCAAGCAGAAAACUUGCAGGAAGAAGAACCUGAACAGGAGAGAGGAUUCUGGCGACAACCUUUUGCAGAGGGUUCUGAGCAGUGGCAGGAAGAGAAUGGUGAGCAAUCCGGUGGGGACUGGCAGGAGAAUGUAGAGCAGGCCUGGGCCCGUGAAACACCGCAAGAUGAUGGUGGAGAAGACGAUCACCUUCAAGAAGUGCAUGAAGAAUGGCGUGAUGAUGAAUCUCAUGAUACUGUUGAUAACUGGCAGGAAGACCGAUUAGAACCCUUAACUAGAAGAGUAAAUGAGUUUAUCCCACCUGACGAUGAUAAUGUCUAUAGCAUGGAGCUGAGGGAACUCCUAAGCCGGUAUUUACUGCUUCUCUCUGUUUAUCACUUAUAAAAUCCCUGCAAUACUUAUUAUCUGCUUAUAUUCCUGUGGAAAAUCUGAAUUUUUCAUGUUGAAUCCUUAAAAGUGUAGUUUCUUGCGUAAAUAGCCUUCUUUUAAGUUUGGGUAGUCAUCCAAUUCAUGGUGCAAGUUUUUUCAUAUUAGAAAAGGAUUUAAAAAAAAAAGAAAAAAAGAGGGCAACUUUUUUUUUGUUUUUAAUUGAGAGAAAAAGCCCGUACAGCAGGAGGACAAGUUUGUAAUUGCAAGGUUUUAUGUCAGAAAUCAAUUAUAUGUGAGUAUAUCAAUUAUAGUUGCUCAGUGUUUUACCCCUAAUCGUAAUGCUGAGUUUGUUUUACUAUUUUACAGGCGAAGUGUUUCAAAUCUUCUUCAUAGUGGUUUCCGUGUAAGUUUGGACCGCUUAAUACAGUCUUAUAUCGAAAGGCAAGGUCGUGCUCCUCUAAACUGGGGUCUGGAGAGAACCUUGCCCACCCCUGACUUACCAGAGGAAAAUGGAGAGCAGCAAAGAGAUUUUGAAAACCAGGAGCUUCAGGAUUCCAUCAACGUGCCGCCUGUUGGAAUUCCGCCUCCACCUUUGCCACCUCGACAGCCACUGUGGCACACAGGGCUGCAUCGUAACAACUGGGCCAGGCAACGUAUUCAUCGUUCAGAAAUUGUGAGCUAUCUUUUUCCAUUCUGUUUGGAUUUUGCACUCUAAGAUCUGAUAGAUUUCAUAUUUCAGGUUUAUCAUAUUUACUUCUUUUUUUUUUGACUGCUUUCUUCUGUUUCAGUAUCCUGCCAGUCACCUGCAUUCAAUGUUUUUAAAACCAAAGUGGUGAUUGAAACGGAAAAGCAUACUGUUCAGUUUUCUGGGUUCAACCAGUGAAUUUUUAUUUUUCAGUUGAAACAGAUUUUUAAAAGAUAAUUUCAAGUAUAGCUAACACAUGUUUUAAUACAAAAUAUUUAGUUGUUUUCAUAAAAUUUACGAAAAUGAGAAUAGUACAGUACAUGUUGAAAUAACUCAGAAAAUCAAUAUUCAGCCUAGACACUUGUCAUUAUUAUAUAUAUGUGUGUGUGUGUGUGUGCGUGUGUGUGUAUUUUGCGCUUUGAUUUGUUUUCUUAUUCAAGAACAACUGUUUGGCUCUCAAAGCAAGUCAGUUCACUAUAAACCAAAUGAUUCAGCCGCCUUUUAUUGUAAAACUGUUAAGUUAGAUCGGUUUUGAGGAAAAUGUUCGAUAAUACUGAGCUGCUGGCGCCAACCGUUUAGCUUGGCUCAGUACUGACAAUAUUGCCUGCAAAUAAUAACAUGUGUUUCCUCUCUGGCCAUCUGAAUCAUAAACUAGAAGCUUCUUGAUUUGUAAUGUUGUUAUCAAUUAAAGCAGAAGCUGGUACAGAAAGUGGGGUAACGAGCUAUAUAUACGUCUAUCUUUUCUUUAGUGUACCCUUUCAUAUUCGUAAUGAUAUUAUCAAUUAAAGCAGAAGCUGGUAGAGGAAGUUGGCUUACAAGCGAUAUGUACAUCUAUCUUUUCUACCGUACUUAGUCAUACUUUUCGGAAUGUGAAAUUGACAAUACAAUGUAACCAUUCAGGAAUGGGAGGCCAUUAAUGAUUUGAGGGCCGACAUGGCUAGACUUCAACAAGGGAUGAGUCAUAUGCAAAGGACGCUCGAAGCUUGCAUGGAUAUGCAGCUCGAAUUGCAGCGUUCAGUUAGACAGGAAGUUUCCGCAGCUUUGAAUCGCUUUGCAGGAGAAGGUUUGUUUGUCCUUAUUGGUUUUGUUUUUCAUCAGGUGUAGAUCAUCUAUAUCUUCUUAAGUAGUAAGUUGGUUUCUUGUUUUCUUGGCACCAUCCCCCUUUUUUUUUUGGGUGAUGUGGGUACUCUUUUAUGUGAAAAGAAAAGAUCUUCUCUAGGAUGUCACCGAUCAUCACAUUUUUCUGCUAAAGAAGCAUGAAACUAACAUUUUCAGGUCAUAUUGAGGAAUCAUCUGAGAAUGGAUCAAAAUGGAGCCACGUCAGAAAGGGGACUUGUUGUGUAUGCUGUGAUACCCAAAUUGAUUCUCUUCUGUACAGGUUAGCCAUACCAUUUCAUUUUUUUUUUCUUUUUCUCGCUGUUAGUUUUUUGCGCGGGUUUUAAUAAUUCAGGGUUAUUAUUCUUGUUACUAUUUUGUGUGACGCAAUCAGAUGUGGGCACAUGUGCACUUGUGCGAAAUGUGCGAACGAGUUAGUCCGUCGGGGAGGUAAGUGCCCGCUGUGCCGUGCGCCCAUUGUCGAGGUCGUCCGAGCGUAUUCCGUACUGUGAAAAGUUCAUAAAAACAGUUCUAUAGUAAGGAAAGGGAAUAAUCUACUGCGGCGUGAAAGUUUUGUUCAUGGAAGCUGUCCAGUGCCUUUCCUUCCUUCUGUAUUUAUUAUAUAGGUGCUCUGUAAUUUCUUGCCUCUGUCGUUCUUGUGCUUGGAACGUGAAAAUGUUUCGAGUCUCAUUACAAAUGGCAUCUCUUUCUUUUUCUUUUGAUGGAUCUGACCUAAAAAGAAAGUGAAAAAGGAAAUUCAAUAUAAAUUUGUUAAUUGUAUUCAUCAUCAAUGGACUUUCCAAAUGGUACAUUACAGAGGUUGCGAAAUCUAUCCGGGUGCAGGAGAGACCCAAUCUUAUGAUGUUCUACUUUUUUGGUGUGGUUGUAUUACAGGCUAUUUCUCAUACCAUUAUGAAUCGCAAAGGUAACAUUUCGGAAGAAAACGAACCCCCAUUUGUUAAUGCUGUUUCAGAAUUCGGGGAUUUCGUAAUCGAUCCGUCAGAAUCAGUUUUAACAAAAUCAUUUUAUUUGAACGGUUUUUGAUUUUGCUGUAGCAUUUAGGUUGGUUUGCAGCCGCCAUCAUCGUCGUUGUCACUGCUGCUGCUGCUGCUGCUUUUUUGAGUUUGGUCACGUUAAGAAGGAUUUGAACACAACAUUUUUAGGAUCGAGUGAGACUCGAAAUAAAUUCUGAUAACAUAAAAAGAUUAAUAUUAGAUAAAACAAAUCGUAAAUUAAUGUUAACAAUUGGACUAAACGUAUAUUACUUAUCAGAUUAAUAUAUAACUUUUAAAACAACCAAUCUCUCAGAUAAAUACAAAAAAAAAAAAAACCAAAAAAAAACUUUGAAAAGAUCCCAAUUCCGUUUGCAUACGAUGUGGGUGCGGUAGUGUGCCAGACUUUUUCUUGUUUGGUUCUGUUGGAUAAAAAUUAAUUCCGUAUGCUGUGUUGAAAAACGAUUUUUUGAGAUCAUCACAUGAAUAAUUGUUCAUGAAAUGAUAAAUCCCCUGGACCGAAAACUAUUAACUCAAAAUUAUGCUCAAAACUUAAUUAGGGAGGGAAAGUUGGUAUAUCGUGAUCAAAGUUUAUUUUGUUGUUUAUUAUUCAGUACAAAUCAACAUUGGUUUCCAAUCAAUGUCUUAUUCAAUAAAUACUUCUUUCCCAGCUACACUGCCAUGUAGAACAUAAGAUCCACUCUAUUGUAAGUGAGGAAACCAACCCAAAUUACAUGCUCUUAUAAAUUCUCUGAAAAAGCACCGAAAAAUCGAUGGCUCACUUCUUGAAUUCCAGGACAGUGUAGAAGGGGUCCAGGUAAAUUGCCCUAAAACCGGCGAACCCGGCGGCGAGGCCGAGUUGCCGGAACUCCUCUUCGGAGCGCUCCCUCCCCUGAGUUCGGUAGAUGGUCAUGACGAAUAUGUCGUUCUCGAGCAAAGCCCGAGUACGCCUGCUCGCGUCGGUCUCCUCUGGCAACACCGGCUCGCAGGCUAUCACUUUGCCUCCUUCAGGUAGGGCUUUGCAGCAGUUCUUCAGUAUUUGGGUGCACUCCUCGUCAGUCCAUGUGGUAAGCACCCACUGACAUGAAAAAGAUUCCAAAUUGUUCAAGAAUACAUUUAACAACUUUUUUCUCUCAUUAAAACUUUCUUUACGGUUUCUACAUUUGAGACCAGAAAGCUUUUUCUAAGUUUCCGCGACAUUAACUGCUCCAAAUGCAAUACAGAUAGAAGGUAGGCCAAACAUUUGUAAGAUUGGCGUGCGCGCGGAUAUGUUUAUAGAAAGCCACAAAUGUAAUAACUCUGGAAAGUAAAUAGAAAAAUGGUAUGUACCUUCAUAAAAAUGGCAUCACCUGCUGGGAUAGACCUAAACAUGUCACCUCCAACAUGCUUUACUCCUGCAUAGAGCAAUGAAGCUGUUGCUAUAGAAGUGUUUCAAUGCAGAGAAAAAAGUGUAGAGACCAAUAAAGGAGAAGUAGAAAACUUUGCCGACAUUAUAAAUGCAGGGAGAGGAACAGUAACCUGCAUCUGCGCGGAAAGAUUUGCAGUUGUGCAGUUAAAUAACGACAGAGAGAUCAUUAAAUGAUUGAUCGGAAAGCCAAAGCAACCUUUCAGAUGUUCUACAAUAAAUGUAGUAGGAAGCUAGCUACAUGCGUAAAGACAACAACACAAAAAUACACUUUCAAGAGAUGAGAGGUUUAUAAGCGAUUUUGAGAGAUUCAUUACGAACAAAGAACCUAGUGGCUUACAUGCUUACCAACCAGAAGAUUACCAUGUUUUUGGACCUGAAAAACUUCUUAUCCUCUUUAGUUAAAUAGGUCAAACAAUUUACAUUAACCCUUGAAACAUAACAUGUUCAAUAAGCAUGGCCCCAACCAGGAGAAAGAGUAAGCAAAGUUAACUAAACAUAUUAUUCGAGGAUUAAGGUGGGAGCAAAAGCAACAAAAAAGUAUCAGCUAACAUUUGGAAAGAGAAGCUUCGCAAUAGCGCGAAGCGGGACGAACAGGCCCGUUUUGGGUGGAAAACCAUAGCACUUGCCUGGUCCCGUUGAAUAAGCGCGCCAAUUUAGCGUGCCACUCCACCGCGGUUGCGCGCUAUAUUAAUCCUAAUCGAAGUUAGUAUGUUUGGCAAACAAAAAUUCUGAACAUUUUUAGUAUAGCGACAAGCCAGCAUGUCAGGGCUUCAUCUUUAUGACUCUGAAGAAUCUCUAAGCAUGCCGAAAUAAGUCAUUAAGCGGCAACUCAUUUAGAGUAAACAUAGAAUGAGAAGAACUCAUUUACACUCCAUGAUCAGAUAGAUAAAAGGCCAUGAAAAUGACCACACCACUCUCUCAAACAGAUUAAGAUGCUACAUACCACACAACACAUUAUAAAUCCAUUAUUUAAUGCGCUCAACUACUCAUCAUUAACAUCAAAGAUGAUAAAACUACGUAACCAACAAAUUAACCAACUCUGAAACCACACAACUCAAUUAAAUCAAUUUGAUUGAAAGCAAUUGAAAAAUAAUGUUAAUAAUAAUAAAUAAAAUAAAAUUUAACAUUGGCAAAUAUUAAUUUUAAUAUUAGCAAAUAAAUAAAAUUUUGGAAUAUUUUUGACACGGGGGCGUUUAAUGUUAUAAGAAGAUCAGGUAUAUGAGUGCUGGAUACACCGGGUGCAGGCAAUAUUGUGGCGAAUAAUGGGACCUCUGUGGGGUGAGGAAUUCUACACUAUCACACCUGCACCACUACAUCAUCAAUAACAAGCAAAUCAUAUUUCUUCUUUUAAAACAAAAGUACAAUAAAAAUAUUUUUUUAUAAUUAUGACGGGACAUAUAUCUCUAAAAGAAAAUUUUUUCUUAGUUUGUUGCCAACGUCACCAAUAUACCCGUUGCAUUCUAGAAUUUUUUUCCUGUGGGGUCCAGAGAAACAGCCAAGUCCAUUUUUGUCCCUAGAAUCUCCUUUUUUGGGUUGUCCUCAUCGUUCAAAAUUUAUACUUUUGACAUUUUGUGAUCCUUCGUACAAAAUUUAUACUUUUUGACAUUUUGUGAGCACGAUAGUGAAAUAACAUUCGAAACGCUAAAAUACGCCACAGGGGCGAGAGAGAGGAGAUGAGGAGCUCUGGAGCUCACCGGGAAUGGCGGGGGCGGCGGCGACGACCUCGGGGAGGUCGAAGUUGACCCCAACCCUAACGCCGGGGACCCUGUUCAUGAUCAUGGCGAGGCAGGCGCCGGAGCUCCCGCCGACGUCGACGAGGGUCUCAACGCCGGCGAAGCCGUCGUAGGCCCCCGCGAGGAGCGCCUCCAUGAAGGGCUCGGAGACCCCGGCCAUGGCCCUCUGCAUGAGGGCGUUGGCGUCGUCGUCCCCGCCGUAGUAGGCGUAGGCCGGGACCCCGCCGUUGGCGCGCGCGAAGGGCUCGGGCCCCGCGGGGUCGAGCACGGCCUCGUGGAGCCGCGGCCACGCGCGGAUCAGAGCGUCCUGGUGGUGCUGGAGCACGUAGUCGGCGUAGGAGGGGCCACCGACGCCCGCGGACGAGACUAGGGUUCGCCCGAUCCGGGUGAGGGAGUAGCGGCGCAGGGGGGAGGACGAAGGCGAAGACGAAGAGGAAGGGGAUGAGUAGUGCUCGCGGAAGACGCCGUGGGAGGAGAGGAGGCGGAGGAGGCGUUGGAGGAGGGAGGGAUCGGAGGGGUGGGGAGGGGGACCGGGGGAGCGGAGGAGGGGGAGGAUCUCGGCGGCGGAGAGGGGUGCGUUGGCGCCCGAGGCCCAAAUGGCGUCGGGGACGCGGAGGAGGACGACGGCGUGGAGCGCCAUGGGGACGGAGAUCAUGUUCGCGAGCUCCAUCAUCGCCAGCCGCGCCGCCGCCGGAGAAUCCUCCGGCGACGAGGGCUUCGGGGUACGCCAUGGGUAAUGUGAGGAGAGGAGCGGUAGGGUUAGGGUUAGGGUUUUUGUGGUGAGCUCGUUUGGUGAACUGGGGAUAGUGGGGAGGCGGAGGAGGAGGUAAUGGGAUUGGGCGUGGGUGUGGGGGGUAUUUGCGGUUGUGGAGAGUGAGAGGUUAUAGCACGGUACCCGGCCUUUUCUAUUCAACUAGUCGGCUAACACUAUUCAAUUUUAUAUCCACCGUCCCCAACGUAGUAGGUAGCAUAUUAUCUUAUCUCUUUAAAACAAAAAGCUCUUUCGAUUGAUCAGUUACGAAAUAUCUUUAUAUCCUAAUUAGGUUAGGUUUGGUAUUGAAAUCUAUCUAACAUUGUUAGAUAAAAUAGAGUUAGAAAAAAAAUAUAUAGAAAUAUAUUUCUGCGUUUUUCGGUGGGACGACAGAAAAUAUAUCAUAACCGACUCAUCACAAUAUGCGGAACACAAUAUUACAUAUGAAAAUAAACAGAGUAUUUUUUUAUCAUACUUUCUCACCGCACGUAACGCUAUCUUCAAGUAAUCCCAAACCCUUAAACGUCUACCACAUACAGAUACAAUUUACAAAUCUUUAAAACACUAAUCAACAAUUUUAGACAUAAAAGUUUUGAAUUGUUGAAUAAGAUGUCAAACAAGUUCUAAUCCUGAGUUGGGCCGGAUUGGGCCUCCAAAUAGGGCCCAGAACCCAGGUCUAUCUUACUGGACCAAUCUCAAACUCGCAAAAAUGAAAGAUCCACUCUUUUGAUUCUUACCAAUCAGGAUCCAACUAGUAAAAUUCAUGUUUUUUUUUUUUUUUUUAUAAAUUAGUGAGAUUAUUAUUAUUAUUAUUAUUAUUAUUAUUGAGAGAGAUAAGUAGCACGCUAUCCACUUCAUUUAUUUUAUUUAGAAAAUAAACUUAGCUGAAAAUGUGAAUCAACUAGAUUCAAACUUGGGUCUCAGAUAUCAAUCACCAAAUCCUUUGUCGCUUGCUCUAGGUCACUUGCUCUAGGGACCGUCCCGCUAGUAAAAUUCAUGUUGAAGAGAGAUUUUGAACUAACUAAUGGUAGAGAGAAGAAAAGCACUCAAAUUCUCCACCAACAUCCAGCAAUUAAUCCACUUGUUUCUUACACGAGCCAAUGCUUGUGUGCUACAUUACAUUGUCAUCCAAAAGAGAGGAGCAACUACACACAACAAGAGAAAACAACAAUCUAAGAGUCUCCUACGUAUAUUUACCAACCCAGUGUGCUACAACAACUCACAGAAAAACACAGCAACAGGAUCCAGUCGAUCGGUCGCUACUACUGUACAAACCGAAGCAAAAUCGCCAGAUCCUCUUCCACUCCCUAAUAAGUUGAAAACAAAAACAAGAACAAAAAGGCUAAGCUCAGUUGAACCAGGGAGGAGGGGGGGGGGCUCAGCUGCUCUGGCUGGCCAUGUAGUUGGUGACGGCCUUGGUGCCCUCGGAGACGGCGUGGCGGCCGAGCUCGCCGGGGAGGACGAGGCGCACGGCGUUCUGGAUCUCGCGAGAGGUGAGCGUCGCCCGCCCAGUGUAUUUGGACAAUCGUGCAGCCUCCUCCGCCAGGCGCUGGAACAUGUCGGCCAUCAUCAUGUCCAGCACCUGCAUCGCCCGCGCCGACGCCCCCAGCUCCGGGUGCACCUGCUUCAGCACCCGGAACACGUACCUCUUGUACCCGCCCACGCCUCCGCUCCCCGCGUCCCCCGCACUCCCGAACCUCCUCUUCCUCCUCCUCCUCCUCCUCCCUUUUCCUUCUUCCGCUUCUCCUUCGCUCCUCCCUCCUCGAUCCUUUUCCUUCUUCUUAUUGGCGGGCGGUAUCUCCGACUUCUCCGUCGGCGUUUCCGGCCCUCGCUCUUUCAGAGGCCGUCCUCGUCCUCUCCUUUUCGACUCUUCUCCGGUCUCUUUCGGUGCUUGGUUCUCGUCCACCUCCAUUGCUUCCUUUCUCUUCUCAGGCUCAUCUCUACCGUCAUUCGCCUCCGGCACUUCGCCAUCACCCUUCUCACCGCCGACUACGACAACUUGCACAACCUUGGAGUCCUUGAGAGGUACUGCUGCUUCUUCUACUUCUUCGGCACCGUCUCCAUCUCCGUCUCCGUCUCCGACACCGACCACAGGAGCGACCUUCACAGUCUCCUCCACCACCUUCGCCGUCGUCUUCACCACAGCUCCCACCAUCUUCCUCGGCUUCCUCGGCGCCAUUCUCCUCGCACUCUCCUUGUUUCUUAUUUAUUAUUAUUAGUAUUAUUUUCUUCUUUGAUUAAGGAGGCAAUAUAGAGCCGCGAUUGAGGAACAGAGUGGGACAAUGAAACAGGGGAAGGGNGGAAAUAUGUAGGCGGGGGAAGUGGGGUGGGGUUUAACGCUCGACACUUGGCGGUGAGCGUGUCGUACGCUUGGGAGGGUAUGGGUGACGUGGACGGCGAUCGUAGCUUCUCAAGAGUUCGCGGCUCGGGAUCAGGAGAGUUGAUGAUCGGACGGCUGGGAAUGAGGGGAGCGUGGACUCCAGUGGACGCUCUAGAGACUCCAGUAACACUCCCCAGUGAAACGUCGAGAGACAUUCGGAAUUUAAAAAGAUUAAUUCGCCUUAAUUUCUAUUGAUUUUGGAACUAAAAAUAGAAAAAAAAAAAGAAGAAAAAGAACCAAACGUUAUGACAAUCGAACCGAAUAAAUUGAUAAGACGUCGAAUAUAUUAUGAUCUUGAUUAAAAAAUAAAAUUACAACAAAAUAAGCCCGGACAGAAUAAAUUGAUUUUAGCUUUUACAAAAAAAAAAAAAACUCUUGACUCCGAUUAAAUAUUAUCUAUUUAUGCAGUAAGAGUGCUAUACUUUCAAAAGUUAGAAAAUCAAUUUAAUUGCUCUUGUUUCUGAAAGAAACAUUGUCAUUUCAAAUUAAAAAACUCAGCUUAAUGAGUGUUAUAAUGAUUUUUAAGAAAUAAAGAAUUACUACUAUACAGGGCAAUAUUUGAUUGCAAUGCAAUAAAAGCCAUUUUAACAUUUUCCCGAGUUUUUCACUCUUUAAGAUAUGCACAAGGUUUACAUAUUUAACAAUUAUUGCAAACAAAGGGCGAAAAGUAAAAAAAUAAAAAAAACAAUCUACACCCACUAGGAAACUCACGUAUUGGCAUAUAAUAUACUCCUAUUUAUGGACCUAUUAUUACAUAUUAUCUUAAGACAAACAUACGUACCAACUCACUACUCCAAUUUAUCUAUCUCUUUCUCCCAUUUAAGACCAAACAUUUGGCGCCCAAAAGGCACAAUGAGAUUGUAACGAAGAACCUGCGCAAAGUUUUAUCCCAAAUUAAACAUGUUUAGAAGUUCAAUAUCUUAUUAUCUCGGAGCCCACAAGAUAGUAAAUCACUUGCAAAGCAUCUCACCUUGUCAUUUAUUUCGCGCAUCUGCGCCUUGAGAGCUUCAGAGUCCUCGCGCCAUUUGGAUCCCUCAUUGUAUGACCUCCUCGCCCAAGCUCCCUUCAAGGCCGACCUCCACUCCGCGAUCUUGCCACGGAUUUCUUUGUUCAGUUCAACCCAUUCGGGGGCACAGCCAUUUCUGGAGAGUAUUCUGUAUAAGGUGUCUUCUGCAGGGUCCGCAUGAGGGUUCGUGCUGAGAUCGAGAGGCUUCCCCUUCCCGGGUAGCUUCUCAAAGUGGCCUUCUUCCAUGGCGUGCCAUAUUCUCUGUUCCACUACAUUGACUAUGUCGGUCUCCGACCUGCCGUAAGCAGAGGGGAACACUUCAGCUUCGAAUAGUAUAAAAGCAAAAUGGAGUCAAAUUUUGUAAGAAUCACUGAUUCCACACACACAUUGAACAUUUUGUCAGGUUAUCGUUACUCUGCUGUGCAUUCUACAUAUAAUACUAUAAAUGGCGAUAACAAAUCCUUUGACCAGUUAGCACAUUUUUGUAUUAGGUUCCCUAACAAACCAAGUAUACCACAUUUUCUGCAGUUAAAUCCUAGCAUGUUAGUUUGUUCUUCUACACAUUUUUUCAACAUAUAACUCAUUAAUUUCACUGUUUCAGUAGUGCAGUCACCAGUUCCAAGAAGGAUUUGAGCAACUUAGAUCGUACGUUUCCAAUUAACGACACAUCCAAACUUUACAAAUCAAUUCUUAGUGCAGCAUCUUAAUUCAGUCCCUCUGCCCAUAAUAUCACAUCCUUUGAUGCCAGGUCUCAAAUCUAGACGAAGAGUUUAAUCAACUUAAAACUUCAAAAACUAGUAAUAUACAGAUAUAUACUUGCCGGUAUUCUUCAUUGAGAAUGGCAUUGUUUUACCAAAGAAUUAAUAUUUUCAGAUUCGUAUGUAGUUUAGAUAGGUUGAAUGAGAUCAAGAAUCCGAGAAAAAUGAAUAACCAGAUAUUAUAAGUUUAGAAAGCAAGGGAAGAAACAAAAUCUAUAAAGCAAACCAGAACUAGUCAAUUAGGUUCAUCCGAACAUAGUCGAUGUUUCCAUAUGUAACAGGUUUUCUAGCAGUCCACUCAGCAUACUGUUCUCUGGCCGCUACGAAGCAACUUAAACUGGCGAGAGAUUACAUAGCAAAACACUACUUAUCGCAUAAUUGGAGAUAAGCAUACCAUACUACUAAAGAAACUAGCAACAAACUGUUGAGCUUAGCAUCUAAGGAGCCACAGUAGUCGAUUAAUAUAAUGCUAGUAUCAAACAUCUGCUUCCUCUCAUAUCCAUCUUUCUAAGGGCAAUUUAUUCGAUCAAUGUACAUGUUUAAAUGGUUUUCGAGCUUAAAUGAAUCAAAAUAAACAAAAAUUCCAAAAAAAUGAAGCUGUAAAAAAGGCCUUUAACCAGGAUUUCUCCAUCUACAGAUAAUAAUUAUUUUAAUCACAAACUUUUUUCUUUGUAAUUAUUAUCAAACUCUUCCUCUCAAGUCUUAGUUUUGGAAGCAACAAGGAACUACUUUUUCUAAGCGGUUUUCCUAUGGGCAAGCAUUAAUUCCAGUAUAAAUUGUACGAUUUCUCUAUCAAUUCGAAUCCGAACAAUACUCAGCUAUCCUAUACCUAAAUGUCUACGUCAAAACAAUGAAACCAGGUCAAAAGCGCAUCAACAGCGAGAGGGAGAGACCUGAUGGCGUUGGAUCGGCCGCGGAGCUCGGGAGGGAGCUUGCGAUCGUUGACGGCGUCGAUGACGGCGGAGAGGCGGUGGCUUAGCUUCUUCGGAUGCGAUUGUCGAGAGGACGCGGCGGAGGAGGCGGCGGAGGAGUCCGGAUCGGCGUCGAAACACGAGGACGACGAGGAGGAGGAGAAGGACCAGAGGGAGCGGAGACCAGAUCGGAGGAGGAAGGGGAGGAGGGCUCCGGCGAGGCUCCGGCGCCGCGGUGGGGCGGCGAUCGCCGCCGCAGCCGCCAUGGGAGAGGGGAGGAAGGUCGGGGGAGAAGAGAGCGAGGAGGAGUGAGUCGGGAUUUGGACUCGCCCCACGCCACGAACCGUUAUUUAUUUUAUUUUAAUUUAAUUCUUAUAGUGUGGCCACUACGCGGGCUUCCUGGGUCUCUCUAGGCCGUUCGUGAGGACCCCAAAUACAUCGUACGAACGAUUUUUUCAAACAUAACAACGAAAUACCAAUCAUUCCUAAGGCGAGUGACAAAAAACUUAAUAUUUAAUAUUUAAUAUUUAGUUAUUUUAUAUUUUUAAUUAAUUUUAUUUAAAGAAAUAAACUAAAUCGAUAGCAUAUAAUCUUUCUCUAAAAAUAAAAAAAAUACCAACUUACACUUUAUAUCUUUUCAAACUUCACUAAAUUUCAACAACAACUCCGCCACCGAGUUAGUUUGAAAGUAUUUCACAGCUCAAUACCUCAUUGCCCUCGAAGCAAAUCACAAGAACAACACAACAACUCCGAACAACACAACAACUCCAACUUAGUCUUGUCUAAGAAUUUAUGACUUACGACCGCAGCACUGAUCCAAAAUUUAAGCAUUCGGGGCGAAUCAGAUAGAUUGAUUCUGCAAAGAUCAAAUAUCUGAAGCGAUCACAACCAGCGGUAAAAUUAAAUAGUUCAAUCGGUAAUCACAAUAUUAGACUCUUCAAAGAUAAAAUCCAAAUGCACAAUAUAGAACACAUGGAGCACUGUAACAAGUCUUGAAUCAGAAACUAAGAUCAGCUUAUUCCAGCCACAGGUUAACUAAAACCAAACUCUCAGGAAAGUGUGGAUUAAGGGAUAAGGCACACCAUUACAUAUAAAGGGCCAGAUCAGUUCUUCUAACAUGUCAAUAAUUUGACGAGUAAUUUUGGGUUCACACAAACUCCCCUUUUAAUAUCUUCUAGCUUUUCGGUUUUUCAGCAUAACACAAUCAUUGACAAAUCACCAGAACAAAGCUGUAUUACAUGUAAUUGCUUCAUUUUUCUUUUUUGUCUCCCUCUGCAGUAGCUCCAUCGGACUGCGGCGUCGUCUUUGCUUUUGCUUCAUCCAUUCCCUGCAUAGACACACAUCACUCCAUUUAUUUCCAAAUAUUUGCAUAAAGCAAGAUCUUAAGCAACACAUUCCCAACUACUCAUGUUGACCACAACAGAAAAUUACGACGGCAAGGGCCUCGUUUUAUUAUUAAUGAGACCAAGUAAUGCUACUUCAAUAAUAUCAACAAGCACUCCAGCCCCAUAUAUGCAUCUUAAAGUUAAAUUGUAUCCGAUAUUAUGCCCAUGCCAGGAAAAAAGAAACUCGAGUAGCUUUUUAAACUUGUUCGGCAAUGUGAAGAGUUUAAAUAGGUGAGUUUCUUGCAAAAGAAUCAAGAAGCAUAGCGGUAUAACUUACUUCAAUAUUCUUCUGUGCCGCAGGCUUGUAGGGACAAGUAGGCGGCACCCUUUCAGGUUUCCUGUAUUCCCACCCAAAUAGCCGAUAUAUUUUACCCUGCAUAUGAUAUACGAUAAUAUACCGAUUAAGUUUAGUGAAACAGAUCUUAGGAUAACCUUUUUAUAAUUUGUAGUUUUAAGAACAAAAUACAAAAAGAUAAUAGAGUAAAUUACACUUUAAUAUCUCAAACUAAUAAUAUGUGAUAUAUAUCUAUAGAGUCCGGCUACUAUACUAUCAGUAGCACGGAGGCUUCCGUACUACCAAGUUGUUUUCAAUGAUAUGGAAGCAUACUACCAAGUUGUUUUCAAUGAUACGGCUUCCAAAUCGAAAAUCGGCUCCGUUAGACUUGAUCUACAUUAUUGAAAGUAUCUGAAAACUAAAUUUUAUAAUUUUUCGAAAUCAUUUACCUAUCAAACGAGUAGUCUAAAAAUGAACGGCUGAAAAUAAAAAUCUCAUAAAAAAUAAUAAUAAAAGAUUUGAAUUUAAGAUCAGAGAUACUAAUCUUACUCUAAAUAGUGAAAAGAAUUUAAUAUUGUCAAUUUUGAGACCUGUUGAUAACUAGCCAAAUAAUGUCGAAAAAUUAUGAAAUUUAGUUUCCAAAUACUUUCAACAGUAUAGAUCAAGUCUAAUGGAGUCGAUCGUUGAUUUGGAAGGCACAUCAUUGAAAAUAACUUGGUAACAUGGAGACCUCCGUGCUACCGAUAGUACAGCAGCCUAGCUCUCUCUCUAUAUAUAUAGUAUGCAAAUAUGUUUGCAAAAGUAUGAACUAUGAAGACAUACAUCCAUGUCCAAUAUGGAUAUCCCUUAAAAGUUCAAACAGAUUGGUUACAGCAAGGGAAGUAGAAUAGACAACAAAAACUCGAUCAGAUUCUGAUUCAUAUGGGGUACAGUUGACUUCCGUAGUUAGCAAUCAAAUAAAUUUACAGCCCAAAAACCAUUUUAUACCUUCAAAUUUCCAGAAUAAUACUUCUAUCGUUCAGAAUGGAAACAUGCAUAAAGUUAUUGCAAAGAUCAUUAACAAACUUGCAGACAUCAUGGGCGGCAAAUAACAUACAAAUAGUAGAAAGAAUUUGCACAGAUGGAGCAGAUGGCUAAAGAUACCAUUAAAGAAUCGAUAUGAACAUUAAAAACAAUUAGCUACGAAUAUACCAAAGCGCCAACACAACAGCAAUAUAUGUACAUGGAACAAGGCUAAUACAAAUAUUCACAAAACUCAAAUGACGGAAUCCCGGUUAAAAUAAGUUCUGUAUCAAUUUCUGAUCCAACACUACAGCUCGCAACCGGAUACUCUUUUUGUUCCUCCGAGCGUCACGGCCAAUUUUGCGGCUUCAAAAAGUAGGACCAUAGAUAGGAAUAUAACUGGCUUAGUAACUCAAAUAAGCUACGCAAGAGGUUAAGAGAUAAGGAAAUCAAAUGACAGAGAUAGUAAAAACCAAAAUUUUCCGGCACUCACAGUUCCCCCCAACUCAAUAUUUUCUUAUUUUAUUUCAUCGACCGCAAUCUAUGGCCAUUGCCUCAAUUCACUUUUUUUCGCCUUAGUAGAACAUUUCAAUCAAGUCGCAUACCCGACUUUUUAUCUCCAAUUCCAUAUUAACCUAUCCCAGGUGUAUCUAGUCAUCCAAUUUAGUCCCAUAACUCUCAUCGGCAUAUUCGUAAAUUUCCGUUCGCACAUUUAUCUCGCCCGAUGUGUAAAAUAGCCGUUUUUUCUCUAAAAGCUUCAGCAAUCAACCGAUAUUUUAAUAAUUUAUAUUCAACACUGUAGAUCGCCUAGAACAGUAAAAGAAUCUGCAGAAUUGUAUGCAAGUUAAAUGACAGGGAAAAAAAAAACUAAAAUUAAUGUUUACUAAAAUGCCUUAAUCACACUAAUCAAUUAACAUAAAAAGAUAAAAAUUAAACAACAUCACUAGCAUCUGAUAAAUCUAGUAGAUCCCAAACUUCACCAACAUAGAUCGUUUAAUAAUAUGAAAAAAUAAAAAAUGAUAACGGGACCGAGAUGCGAGUACGCAAACUUACGAGGAUGAAAUAGAAAAGCAGCGGCAACGCGUUGAUCACCGGGAUGAGGAAGAGGGGCAACAAGCACGCUAAACACACCUGAGAUUGCGAAAUCGAUCUAUGAAUGUCGAUAAAAUUAGAAUUAAAUGCGUAAAAAUUAAGAAGAGGAAGAGGGAGAUGGAGAGAUGGAAAGGGAAAGAGAUUUAUGAAUAAAAUUCACAAAAAAAAAAAUAAAUAAAUCACUUUCCAUUGAUGCGUGGAGAGGAGGAGGCGACGAGAUGAAAUCGAUGAAUCUGGAAGCAACGGGUGAGGGUUUUUUCUUUUUUUUCCCUUUUUUCCCCAAAGGAACUGAACUAUUAUUUUAUUAUUUAUUAAUUUUUAGGUAAAAAUGUAAGGAGACACCUCAAGUAAAGAAUAUUUCAAAUGAACCCCUCAACUUUUGGGACUCCUUGACCUGCUAAUUUUCUUUAUUUAAUAAAAUUAUCAAUUUGACUUGAAUUGCUUAAUUUCUAAAGUUAAUGAGCCUCAACCAAAAAGAAAAAGGUUGAGUGGGCCAUUUCAAAAUGGCCAAUAAUUGAAGGGGUUAUCCAAAUAUGUUACACCCGGCCGUGUGUACUCACGGCCCAUUCUAUGGGCUGGGCUGAUCAAAGGAGGCCCAGUAAAGGCCCAAUUUGUGUUACAUUUCUCAUUAUCUGGAGAAUAUGAGAUAACUUCAAAAUUACGAUGCAGGGACAUUUGUAAAUAUCACUAUUUCUAGAAGGUUUUCUGUAAAUUAGUCACAUUAUGUGACUGGUGCACACACCCCAUCCAUUGGAUGGGUGAGGUAUAAGAUGUAUACCUCUGAUGGGGUGUAUAUGUAGCAUUGCUGCUCUUAUAUGAAAACCCCUCAAAGCUAUUACUUAAAAGUUCCUUCUUCCUCCUACCGCUAGUAGGGCUUGUUUGGCAUUGAGGCGAUAAUUUUACAAAAUAGAGUUGAGAUAGAAACAUAUAGAAAUAUGUUUUUGAGUUUUUCAAUAGAACUGUAGUAAAUAUAUCAUAACCUACUCAUUACGACAUACAGAAUAAUAUUACAUUUUUUAUCGCACGUAACGCAAUCUUCCUAUCAUUCCAGACAGAGCCUUAGUCGAUUUUUUUUUCUAGUCAGAAGGUCGGUGAUUUCAAACCCUACGCACGUAUGAAUGAGAGCUAAGAUACCGGAACCCUAACUUCCAAUGUACUACAUAAGAGAACUCCCAUAAAUGCAAAACUCCUAAACUUUUAAUGGAUUCGAAAAAAAAAAAAAAAUCAUAAUUGAUUCAUUGUGAUAUACAGAACGAGAUAUUAUGUAGUAAAACAAAAAAGAAUUUUUUAUCUUACUUUCUCAUAGCACGUAACAUUAUUUUUUUACAAUCCCAAAUAAAAUCUUAGUCAAAUUUUAUAAUCCAAAGAUCGGCAAUUCAAAUCCUACAUACGUGUGAAUGAAAAUUAAGAGGUUCGAACCCCUGACUUAUCAGAUAGUACAUAGGAGAAGCCCCAUCAGAAGAAAAACUCCUAAAUUUUUAGAUGAACAGGAACAACUCCCAACAGCUAACAUGCUGUUCUUAAACUUAUUGAUUCGUACCACAGAGGAAGUCCCCACACAUAGGAACCCUCUCAGUACAAAUUCUUCUUUUGACUGUUCAGAAAAUAAUAAUUGCUUGGAUUAUUAGAUUCAUAUAUUUGGAUCUAAUGAAUAAUUUUGCCUGAUGAAAAUGGACUCCAACCCCCAAUUUUUAACCACUGGGGACCAACUUGAUCUCUGAAAUUCCAUAGGAGGGAGCCCCACCCUACUUUAUGGCAAAACAUGCAUGAGUGUAAUGUGGUCUCGCCCGAGGACAAAGCUGGGACACCCGACGCGCUAAAUUACUGUCGAGCAGAGCUGUUCGAAGAAAUAUAAGUCAUUUUUUUUUCCUUUAAAUUCGUGCAAAAUCACGCGGGAGCAGAUCACUUAUCCGCGUUAAAGUUAAACAAGCACUCAAUUUGAAAAGAAAUGUUUACUGAUCAGAUCCAAAAUUGCUCUGCUUUUUAUCUCUGUCGGCAGAGACAGAUUCAGGACUGCACUAUUAUACCACUGCAGAACAUUAAUGUCAUUGCAGUAAAGUCAAGUUGAAUCUAUCCCUACUAUUUCAGUGGCAACAUGGAUCCCUGCAUCAUCUCCUCCACCGUAUCUUUAAUUCUUGUCCCUUACACACAUCUUGCUUCUUUGACGAUGUAGAAGAGUAGUGUGACAGAUAACAGAUACUUCAGAAUGAUGUUCUUAAUUAAAAUCCGUUGAACUGUUAUAAAAUGUAAAAAGAUAAGAAUGAUUUUUUUUUUUUCUUUUUUAAGCAUCGUUUCAACAUCAAAUUAUUAUGCUUUUACUUGUUAUGUCUCAAACUCCUUUGACUAUACAUUACGGAAUUGCGACAAAUCUCUUAAAAUGUUAUUUUUAUAAACUGUUGAUCAUGUAUUGUCGUAUAUAAAAUACAAGAAUAAAAAUAAUUUUCAGCGUCCCGUGAACAUAAAUUAUUAUUAUUUUUACCUUCUAUGCCUCUACUCCUUCAAUAAUAUAUGACGGUACUGCAACAGAUAUUUCAAAAUAUUGUCUCUAGAAUUUAUUACUAUGUUACAAUACCUAAAAUAUAAAGAUAAUUCGUUAGCAUUGAUUUAACACAAAAUUAUUGUUAUUAUUAUUCGUUUGUUACAUCUCUAGUUCCUUUGACUAUAUAUAUAUAUAUAUAUAUAUAUAUAUAUAUAUAUAUAAAAGGGUCUCUGGGCAAGUCUUUUAAAAUAUUAUCUUUAUAAGCUGCUGAUAUAUUAUUAUAUAUAAAAUAGAAAGAUAAAAUAAUUUUUUAAUAUCAUUUAAACCAAAAUCAUAAAUUUUUUUUUUACCAGCAACACCUUUAGCUCCUUUGACAUACAUAAUUUUUUUUUAGAGUAGUUCUUAGGUAAAUGAAUGGGUAAAUUACAUUGUUACUCUCUGAACUUUUAGCGAAGUUUCACUUUACCCCUCAAACUCCUAAAAUAGACAUUUAACAUUCUAAACUCUAAUAUUUUAUUCAUGUUACCCCUUCCGUCAGUUUUCCGUCAAGCUCCGUUAACCGGAAACUGACGGAAGGGAUAAAAUGAAUGAAAUAUUAGAGUUUAUGGUGUUAGAUGUCUAUUUAAGGAGUUUAAGGGGUUAAGUAAAACUCGCCAAAAGUUGUAGGACUCUGGACUAUAAGUUAUUUUAUUAUAAUAUGUUACUUAUGGAUUGACUACUAACUCUCAAGUUAGUGAUGAUACUUGAUUUUGAAUUUAUAUAUAUUUUUUAUCCUAAAAUAAAUUAUACCAUAAUUUAUCCUAUAUUUUAUUGUAAUAAAAUAAAAGCGAAAGAAAUGAAUUAGAGUGGCUUAAAAAUAAAAAAAGAGCAAUACUAACUAUCUACAAUGCUCAAACACUUUACUGUCUUGGUGGACUCGCUUAUAUAGUUAAUUUACAAUAGGUGUCCUCACUAGGAUAUAGUGAUUUUAAUUUUCGGUUAAUUUAAAUAGGUGCAGCAUGAUAGUAGAAAAAUAGCUGUAUUUUUUUUGCGUACAAACCAAACAAGUACACUUAUCAAAAUAUUAUAAUGCGAGAUAAGUUUGUGAUUGACUCUGAUAUUAUCUCACUUAAAAAAUGUGACAUAAAUGUAUUCAACAACUAAAAAUCUGAUCACUCUUACUGAACCACCAUAGUUUUUAUGUUAAGUUACUUAUUACUGUUCUACAUACCAAAAAAAAAAAAAACGCAAAUUAAAAAAAUUAAAAAUUUUAAAAAGUUUUUUUUAAAAAAAUCUCAUGAAUUUUAGGGAUCUUGUACGGACCCAAAGCACUUUCAAUAGACCAAUCAGUCACAAGAAAAAUAGACGUUAAACAUUGGACCCCAUACAACCUUUAUGUCACAUCACUCACUCAACGUUCACUUAUUAAAUUAUAACAAACAAUAACAGUACACACGACGUAUUAAUUUCCCUACGUAUUUUCGUACUAAUUUUUCCCCAAACUUAAAACAAAAUACACAAAUAAAACGACACAAGUUUAAUUAAUUUUCUCAGCUAAAAACACUCUGGAGUCAGUGAAUGAUCCCUCUUUGGAUCCCUGCAGUAGUUGUAGACCAUGUAGUGCGCUUGGGCCCACCGCAUCGCGGCGAAUUGGCUGCCGGUGAGUCCGCCGCGGCCGCCCGCCCCCGGCGCAUGGCACCGCGGCGGCGAGGAGGGGGAGCAGGCGCGGACGGCGAACCGGGUGAACUGCGCCACGAACGGCUGGUACCGGUAGUCGGCCUUGGACCGGCCGUCGUCGGUGGCCCACGACGACGCGUCCCAGAUGGAGGCGUACAGCCACAUCGGACGGAGUGGGAACGUGCCCACGCUCUUCCUCGGGUAUCGCCGUAUCGGUAUGUCGUCGACAAAGAAUCUAUAGAUACAUAAAGUUUGGAAUAUGUUUUGUUCACUCCCGUUUACUGAUAGUAUAUAAAUCAUAUUAAAUUAAUAUAACUAUAUCAUUUAAGUGAAUAUAUCAUUAAUAACCAAGAUAAUAAAGGUGUACUAUUCUUUUUAGCACCAUUAAUGGCGCAAACCAAUCUAUUGCACGGCACCGUACCUUCUACAACUAUCAUUUGCUAAACAAAAAAUAGAACGAGAAAAAGUCAAUAAAUUAAUUUUGAAUCUCUUCCUACGAACUAACUAUGUAUGCAUAUGUUUGAAAAGUACCCCUUUAAGAAGAAUAAUAAGUACUAUUUUUUUAUUUUUUAUUUAUUUUUUUUUUUUUUGUGUUUUGGGGGGAUUUGUUACAAUUGUAAGGAAAUUGAUGUGUAAGUUGAUUUAGACUCACAUGAUCUCAUUCUGAUUCCAUAGUAUGGCGUAAUUGUGAAAAGCCGCGGUGGGAUCGAACCACAAGUGGAACUUCAUCUCCCUGCCGAUGAUCCGGCCGUCUCCGCUGCCCCUGACGUAGACAUUCGUCUGCAACGUAUACGGCCUCCCCGGGGUCGUCCCGAGAAACUCGAUGUCGACCUCGUCGUGGUACCCGGGAUGGACUUGAUUGUUCGAAAGCUGCAACGAUUUUUUUUUUUUUUUUUGCAUUCAAAAAAUAAAAAUUAUAAACCAGCUGCAUUUGAAACUUUUAAUAAGAUGUUAGUAAAUGCUGCUCAUGGUCAUGGAAUGCGGCUUCCUCACGUAGAAUGCUGUGAUCACUCCUGCAGUGUAGCCUGACUGAAGCUUGAUCGACGCGCCGAAGUAACCAUUUCGAAACGGGCGGUUCGACUUGAAUCCGCUACCUUUUCUCGCCCCAUAAUGCAAGAGAGUAUCAAAAGAGCGAAAAUACUAUAAGAUGCACUGAAUCUGAUUAAACUUAUUAUAUGACUAAUUAAUAAAGAGAAAAAAAAAAAAGACAAAAGAAAUUGGUGGACCUGAAUUUCUAUCGAGCCAUAUUGUGACUGAGGAUUGGUCUCUGGAAACUGAUUGAUGCUGAGGACCCCAAAGGUUAUUGAACACUUGGUAGAAGCCCCUGGAUCUGAACCUGUAGCUUGGGUAAUACCCAGGGGAGGGUUGAGCAUUGGUGUGAUGGAGAAUGCAGAGGAAAACAAAAUGGAGGAGGAGAGCCAUUUUUAAGGCCACAAUGUACUAGAAAGUGGAAAUAGUAUGUCUGUUUUGGUAUGGAGAGAGGUGGGAUAAAAAGGUAGGGCUUCAAGGGUUGUAUACUUGUAUAUAUAUAUAUAUUAAAGGUAGAUGGGGAAACAGGGGAAGUGAUAUUUAUGAGGUUUUAGCCUUUUAUGGAGGCAUUGAAGGAAAUGGGUAAAAUGGGGCCUUGGAUUUUGAGAGAGAGAGAGAGAGAGAGAGAGAGAGAGAGAGAGAGAGUUUGGUGAAAGGUGUAGUAAAGGGGAAGCACACUGCUACACUCCCAACUUGCCCAUCAUUUCCAAUUGUAACUUGUCUAGCUAUUUGCUGGUGCCCCUAAUGAGAAAAAAUUCUAGAAUGUAACGGGUAUAUUAGUGACGUGGCGUAAUAAAUCAAUCAAAUUAAUCAUUUUAAGAAUAUAUGUUCCAUUAUGAUUGUAAAAAAAUAUUUUUAUUGUACUUUUGUUUGAAAAGAAAGAAUGUGAUUGACUUGUUAUUGAUGACGUGGUGCAAGUGUGACAGUGUAGAAUUCCUCCCUAAUGAGAGGGAUGAUGAGAGAAGGUGAAAAUGUUGCUUAGACCGUGUUUUAUAGAACAAUAGAAAAAUGUAGUUUUUGGUGAGUGAAAAAGCUGUUUCAUAAUAAAAAUAUUAUAUUUGUUGAAAAAGAUCUUCUUUGUGCCGGUUUAGGAUAUGUCAUAUUCCAAUAAACUAUAUAUAUAUAUAUAUAUAUAUAUAUAUAUAUAUAUAUAUAUAUAUAUAUAGCAGUACUGCUGUGUUCUCGGAAGCACGGAGACCUUCGUGCUCCUGAGCCAUUUUCGAUGAUGGGAUUUUCGAAUCGACGAUCGGCUCCGUUAGACUUGAUCUAGCGCAUUUGAAGUUUCUAGAAAAUAAUUUUUGCUAUUUUUCGAUAUCAUUGACCUAGCAAUCGAAAAAAUUCAAAAUCAAUAAUUUUUAACGGCUGAAAAUAAAAAUCUUAUAAAAAAUGGUGAUAUAGUACUAAGCUUUUCGAUCAGAAAUAUUAAUCUUGUUGUAGAUAGUAUAAAAAAUUUUGUAUCAAAAUUUCAUCUGAUUUGAAUACUUUUACACCGUUAAACUUAAAAACGGCAGAUAUCAACCAUUAAAAAUUAUUGAUUUUGAAUCCUUUCGAUCACUAGGUAAAUGAUAUCAAAAAAUCGCAAAAAUUAUUUUCAUAGAAACUUCAAAAUAUCCUAGAUCAAGUCUAAUGGAACCCGAUCGUCGAUUCGAAAAUUCCAUCAUCGAAAACGCUUAGGAGUACGAACGCCUCCAUGCUCCUGAAGCACAACAGUCCUUGCUCUAAUAAUAAUAUAAUAUAUAUAUAUAUAUAUAUAUAUAUAUAUAUAGCAUAGAUUUCUAUCUGAAAUGAUUAAACUUUUCCGAAUCUGAUUUUAUCAGUCUGACACGUCAGAUGCACCAUAUAUUAUAUCCAGGGUAAAAUAUACCUCUACUUAGUGAGAUUCAAAGGUGACGUGGUGGACCAGGUCUAGGCAUUUUUUUUUUCGAAAAAAAAAAGGGUGGGAGGAACCAUUAUUGGGUGAAUAGGCCUAAGGCUCACCCCCAUUUGGCUGUUAGCUUGUGGUGGAGUCUUCUUUCUGAUUUCUGAAUUCAAGGAUCUAUGCCCAAUCAUUGCUUGGCCUUGUUAGAUUGCCUUCCUCCCAUACAUGUAUCUUGCUUAUUUACCCUUCACCAUCUAUGAAAAAAAAAAAAAAUUACAUGUCUAGUGAACCGUUCAUUACUGUUUUAAAGUUAACGCAGUGUAUGCGUCCAUACGAUAAACAGUCGAUUAGAUUACUGAUAUAUGUUCUUCUAUUUUAGCGAUUGUUUUUAAGGCUUUGUUUGGUCUUACUACUUUCGACAGCAAAAACCUUAGGAGAAAAAUGGGCAUCGUGCAGUAGGAAACAGAAAUAAGAUGUUGAGCUCAAAGAAUAGAUGUUUCAAUUUAGUGCUUAUGGUUUCGCCAGUAGAGGUUAAAACAGGGGAUGUGUCUCCCUAAACGAGUUUAGUUCACAUAAUCACGUUUUGCGACAGUUGGCUCCUUUGUUUGCAUUGCUUUGGAGCUCUUAACGUUGUGAGUGGAGAGGACAAUUCCUUUAAUUGUGUGUAUUUAAAUACUAAUUAGGCAACCAAAUCGAGGAGGUUAAUUGGGACUUUAGUGCUCAGAGCCCAUGAGCAUGUGAACAAAUACUAAACAGCUCCAACAUUCCCUUUUAUCUUGUUGUGCAAAAAGGAUGAUGCCUUUUAGGGUUCGCAAGACCCAAUCCAAACCAAUUCGAGCAAGUUUUUCUUUCAAAUCGAUCUUUUGGUCAACCUGAUAUUAGAGCCAGCUCUAAAUCCUUCAGUUCCACGGAACCGACUACUCACGCCAUCUAGCAUGUUUGGGUUAAUUUUCUCAUUAAUGUCUGUAUCGAAUCGUCAUUUUUUACCUCAUCUACCAAUUUACGUAUUUCGUAAGCAAAUUCUGUGUCAAAUCAAUCUUUUAGAUUACAUAUUUUGUAAGCAAAUUCUGUGUCAAAUCAAUCUUUUAGAUAACAAAGUCCAUCUUGAUUUUGCAUGUGGGGGAUAAGAUCAAAAUCCAAGUUGAUCGGUAGAUCAAGUUGGGUUGGAUUAACCUGGACUGGCAACUAAUGCUCAUUUAUUUAUAAACAGGAGUUGGAUUAAUAUGGUCAUAAUGAUCAACCAACCCAAUCACCAUUCAGUAGCCAUAAUAAUGAUUAAUCAAUUACAGAGGGAUUAAUAAUACGUGUUUUCAAUUUACCAUUAGCUCCAAUAGCUCUACAUCGGAUGAAAAAAUAAUUAUAAUUAGAAUAUAUGAGACCUACACGCUAAUAAUAAUAAUUGGGCAUUUGGAACCGAUGGUGUGGUUCCAACAAAUUAUUGUUGCUAGCGGGCCGGGUCAUUACAAUUGAUAUUAAAGCAGAAUAUUAGUUGAAAGUGUGAGAGCUAAGUGUUAUACGGGACAAAGUGCUACACCAACGGGUUUGGUGGGAGUCACUUCUUGAACCCGUAGGAGCCACACCUAAAAUCUCAUAUCAUCUGAUAACUCUGGUCUGUAUGUCUGUGAUUUGGGUUCGGAUAAUAACUGGAUUUAAGCAUUUUGGGUCGAUUGUUUGAGUCCAACGAGUUAUUAUUGCUAGCAGGUCAGGUUGUUACAAUUAGUAUUAGAGCUGAAUACCACCCGAAAGUGUGAGAGCUAAGUGCUAUAUAGGACAAAAUGCUACGCCAAUGGAUUUGGUGGGAGCCACCUCUUGAACUCGUAGGAAUCUCUAAAAUCUUUUAUCGUCUGAUAAUUUUAAUCUGUAUAUCUGUGAUUUGGUUUGGACCCAACGAGAACGUAACCCUAUAUAUAAAGUACAGUAGGACUAGGGGUGGAAACGAGCCGAGCUCGAGCGAGCUUAUCUCGGCUCAAAUUCGGCUUGAAAUUAAUUUCGAGCCUAAAUUUAAGCUCAAGCUUGGAUUGAAAUUAAUUCGAGCCGAGCUCGAGCGAGCCUAGUUUCGAGUCGAGCGAGCUCGAGCCCUAAACGAGCCGCUUGAAAUUCUCAACAUUAUACGAUCAAUAGUUUAAUUUGUAUAGAAUAUUAUCUAUAAUUUGAUACAAAAAUAUGUCAAAUAGUUCAAAGUACAAAAGAAGUAUAUGAAAUAUAGUAUUAUAAUAUGAAAAAAAAAAAAUUUGAGUUGAAUAUCUAUUCUUUUCCGUCUCACAUAUCUUUUCUUUCGCCUUCAAUCUCCAUAUUAUUCAUUUUCAUUUAUACAAUCAAAAAUAAAUAAAUUAUAUAGAUAAAUAUUGGAUUAAACUAUCCAAUCAUAUAUAACUAAAAUUAAAAUUUUAUAUGACUGUAAAUAUUUUGUAUAUUCUCAAUUACAUACAAUUAAGUCAGCUAAGUAGGCAUGGCGGGUUAUAUGCUGUUACUUGGUAACUUGGAGGGCUUCCGGCUGGCCACUUAGGUGAGACAGAGAAAAGAGAAAGAUAGAAACGUAUUAAAUUUAGAGCUCUGUGAAAGAAAAAAAGAAAGGAAAAAUGUAUAAAUUUAGUGAAAUUUUGAUCUUUUAUUUGUCUAUUGAGUUUGUUUUUAUGGGUCAACAAUAUUGGCCCAAUUUUAACUAAACUCCGAUUAUUCACUCAGCCUAUAUAUAAUUAAAAUAUAAUAUAUUUACAUAUUUUUUAAUAUAUAUAUAUAUAUAUAUAUAUAUAUAUUCGAGCUUUUCGAACUUUUCGAGCCUAAAUCGAACGAGCCGAGUAAUACUCAAGCUCGGCUUGAAAUGAAUUUCGAGCCCUUUUUUUUGUUCAAGCUCGGCUCAUUUAAUUUCGAGUCGAGCUCGAGCGAGCCAAAUAUCGAGUCGAACGCGAGUCGAACGCGAGCCGGCUCGCUCAUUUGCCAGCCCUAAGUAGGACUAGACAUUUUAAUCCAGCUAUACAUUUUAGAUUGUGGCUAAACUCAAGAGAUUAAAAAGGUUAAACAUUCUAGAAUUAGAAUAAUUUAAGGAUAGAUGACUUCUCUCACGCAAAAGGGGCACAACAUAAUAAGCCAAAGGUAGUAAAACGGAUUCAGGGCAAAAAGACAUCACUAUUUAUGUGAUCUAAAACAGAUCAGGCACGAAGAAAAGAAAAAAAAUAAUCCAAUCUGAAUCUACCCAGCGAAAUCUCAUCUAAAUCUGCUCUGUGUAGCAUCAAAUCAGAAUUGGAAUUUUGUGAAUCGCUUGUUGGUAUGGUGAGAACCGGGGGCCGGUCUCUCGUCCCAAUCCCAAAUCUGCUCCGUUCGCAUACCUAACCUAAUUUUUAUACCUAUCAAGCAUAGGGCUUAGAUUUGGGACCAAAAUGGCCACCCUCUUAAACUUAGUACAACAAUUAUUACAUCUAGCCAAGUCUUAUUUCCUACUAGAGAUAGGGCUGAGAUAUGGACCCAAAAAAUGGCCAUCCUUUUAGAUCUAAUAGUAUAAAUCUUAAAGCACUACUUCACUGGUUUAGUUGUGAGCUGCAAGUGUAGGUUCAGUUGAGAGUUCGGUUCAGGUACAGGUCACACUCGAUUUCGAAGGCUUAAUAAAUAUCUAAUUUGUUAAUUUAUAAAUUUUCAUUCAAUAGAAACCGACGCACAAAUUACCAUUCAAGUGAAAUCGACGGCUCAGGUCGGUACUUUAAACUUGAAUUUAUUGAAGUGCCCUAGAACUUCAACAACAAGAAGCAAAAAUGACCGACUGUCUCUAGAACAAGUGGCAAAGGGCUUGAUGGUUGGUACUCGAAAUUCCAAGUUCGAAUCCUAGUUAAUUCACAUUUCCAGCUAAGUUUAUUUCUAAAUUAAAUAAACGAAGCGAAUAGCGUAUUACCUAUCUCUUAAAAAAAAAAAAAAAAAAGGCAAAAAUGAGUUUCCGAGCUUAAAAAACAGAAGCAACAAUUUGAUAUUUCUAAAAUUUUACUUUACACAAAAGCCAUUUGAAUAUUUGAAAAACUAAUAUUUUAAUAGCAUUAUUUCGGCAGCACUUUAUUAAAUAAUGCUACACUAUAAUGUAAAUAUAAGCUCUUACAACAAAACCAACUAGUUAAUUAGUAUAUACUAACAAUGUACCCGCGCUUUGCAGCGGGUGUAAUUUUUAAGUUCACAAUUACUAUAUUAAACAUUAUAUAAAGUCAUUUAAUAGAGUUAAAUAAAAAUGUUAAUAUAUAUAUAUAUAUAUAUAUAUAUAUAAAUNNNNNNNNNNNNNNNNNNNNNNNNNNNNNNNNNNNNNNNNNNNNNNNNNNNNNNNNNNNNNNNNNNNNNNNNNNNNNNNNNNNNNNNNNNNNNNNNNNNNNNNNNNNNNNNNNNNNNNNNNNNNNNNNNNNNNNNNNNNNNNNNNNNNNNNNNNNNNNNNNNNNNNNNNNNNNNNNNNNNNNNNNNNNNNNNNNNNNNNNNNNNNNNNNNNNNNNNNNNNNNNNNNNNNNNNNNNNNNNNNNNNNNNNNNNNNNNNNNNNNNNNNNNNNNNNNNNNNNNNNNNNNNNNNNNNNNNNNNNNNNNNNNNNNNNNNNNNNNNNNNNNNNNNNNNNNNNNNNNNNNNNNNNNNNNNNNNNNNNNNNNNNNNNNNNNNNNNNNNNNNNNNNNNNNNNNNNNNNNNNNNNNNNNNNNNNNNNNNNNNNNNNNNNNNNNNNNNNNNNNNNNNNNNNNNNNNNNNNNNNNNNNNNNNNNNNNNNNNNNNNNNNNNNNNNNNNNNNNNNNNNNNNNNNNNNNNNNNNNNNNNNNNNNNNNNNNNNNNNNNNNNNNNNNNNNNNNNNNNNNNNNNNNNNNNNNNNNNNNNNNNNNNNNNNNNNNNNNNNNNNNNNNNNNNNNNNNNNNNNNNNNNNNNNNNNNNNNNNNNNNNNNNNNNNNNNNNNNNNNNNNNNNNNNNNNNNNNNNNNNNNNNNNNNNNNNNNNNNNNNNNNNNNNNNNNNNNNNNNNNNNNNNNNNNNNNNNNNNNNNNNNNNNNNNNNNNNNNNNNNNNNNNNNNNNNNNNNNNNNNNNNNNNNNNNNNAUACCAGCACAACUCUCUCUCUCUCUCUCUCUCUCUCUCUCUCUAUAUAUAUAUAUAUAUAUAUAUAUAUAUAUAUAUAUAUAUAAUUGAGGAAUUGAGCUAGAAUAUUUUUAGAAGCACCAAGGACUUGGUGCUUCUAGGUUUCUAAUCCUUGAAUCUACUCCUUGAUUACUAAUAGUCUUUGGAUUAAACACUAUUCCACCUACCAUCACUUACCACCACCUGCCACCAUCAUCUUAACCCUACAUGUUUUCAUCCAAUGGCUAAAAACUCAAAAGCACCACUCUCUUAGAGUUGUGCUUUUGAAAGUAUUCUAACUCAACUCUAUAUACAUAUAUAGGUGGGGAGAGAGAUGGGAGAGGCUUUGGGGGAUACGUGUGACUCUGAGAUCCUCCAAACUCUCCUUAAAUGUAGAAAGAAGAAUAGAAUAGAAUAGAAAAGAUGUAUCUAAUAUCACCCCAUAAACCAUAUAUAUAUUCACAAAUCAAUAGUCUAUGGUGCACCAGGUGCACCAAAAGUAGCCCGAGUAUACGUGCGGGAUAGUAGAAUAAGUCGAUGGACAUUAGUGUAUAGUAAUAAAUAAAUAAUAAUAAAUUUGGGUGAUCCUUUUUAACUAGGGGUCUCAAUGUAACGCGUCUUCUGAAUUUUCAACCAAUCAAGCUACGCCACGUGUACACAAGCUUCACCGACACAUUUGGCUUUGUACCACAUCGGCUGUUAAAGGAAACGUGUGGAGCCACUAGGCCCUGUAAAAAGGGGGACCCGUGGGCCCCACGAAGCCAUUUUCUGCGGACCGGGUGUAUGGGCCAUCAGGAAGGCUCGUGGCCUAGAUCAACGGCCCAGAUCGUACGGGGUGGGUUCGUUGGCCCACCAUCUCCCCACGUGGAGAGUAGACCUUCUAGUUAUCUCCACCGUCCAUCUCACGAACUAACACAAAUUUUUAAAGCAAACACAAAUUUUAAAGCAAAUGGACGGGAGGACGUGUUCACUUACGCAGCCUCACGCCAAAUUUUGAAAUAAAAAAAACUUCUUUAAAUUUACAUAUAUAUAUAUAUAUAUAUAUAUAUAUAUAUAUAUAUAUAUGGCUGUAUUAUAUUACAGAAAACUCCCUAUCAAAACUCAAUUUUUAACUUUUCUUCCUUGUUAUUUAAAAACCUACACUUUGUCCCUUGUAAAAUAAAAAAUAUUCACUUCACCUCUUACUAUUAAUGAUCCGUUAGUGUUCCGUUUAUAAAAUAUUAUUAUAUAUUUUUUAUGCCAAAAAUAUCCUCAGCCUUCUUUUCUGUUGUCAAAAAAUGAUGAGGAGCAAAAUAGUCAUUUUGUCAUCACAGUUUACACCAUACCUCCUAUGACUAUUUUUUACGGUGUACCUCUUGUGACUAUUUUUUAUUUUAUAAGGAGAUAAAGUAUAGAUUUUUAAAUGACUGGAAAAAAAAAAUCGAAUUUUGAUAGAAAAGUUUUCUAUAAUUUAGCCUAUAAAUAUUUUAGAGUAGUUUUUUAAUUAGUUUUUUAUUCCUUAUAUAUUUUUUAUAGUUAAGUCUCAUACGAAAAGUUAAAACUCUUUGUUAGUAUGUCAAUUUAAACUCUCAACGAAUUUUAGCCCAAACUUCUUCCCGACAUCGACUUUUUCAAAUUUCUUACAAAAUACCGAAGCCGAAAGGUCGAUCUUUGUACGAUUCACGAUUUUAGUGUCGAAACAAACACUGUCGAACUCAUUCAAUAUAUCGUCAAUGAAAACAUCCAAAUUAAGGGGCCAUAAUAAAUACAUGUAGCUAUCAAACUAGUUGGCAUUGAUUGACCACAUUAAGAAGGGCCACCACCACUUUUGCUUAUAUGGUUGUGUAGAGGAUAUUGUUAGGUAUUAGAGUGGCUCCAAAUAGAUCAUGCACAAAAGAUCGAAAUUCUGCAAGAAUCUGAUAAUAGGGUUUACCUUAAUGAUUGAUUGCUAAUAGCCAAUUUGACACUGUUUACGGAUCUUAAAGCAUUCUUCUCCAGAUCACUAAUGAAGCUCAUUUUAUGCCAUUACCAUUCACUAGAUCUAAUGUACUCAAAAAGGGUCAACUGGCCUUGAAAUUAAUUAAUCUGGAAUUAAGAAAAAACUAGCAAAACAAUCAUAGAGCUUUACAAGACUCUAUUUAGAAAGAAAGUAAAUUCAUAAAAGAAUUGAAUGGCACUCACAAGUUACAGCCACUUUUUGACAAUAGCAAAACAACUUUUCUUCAAGAUCAGCUAUGUGAAGAAAACCAACAUACAGGGGUGGGGUGAAAAAGAAAAAGAAAAAAGAAGAAAGUAAAAGAGUGGCUCCUCACAGUGAUUCUGAGCUAUCAUAGCUUUCGUCGCAACUGGAUUUGAUUAUAACCCGAGCACCAGAAGCAAGCCUGCAAUAGUAAGAUUAAGCAAUCUCAAUCAAAACAUAUACGGGAAAGUAAAACAAAAACCGCGGUUACCAAAACAUCUAUGGGUAUGACACUCAACUUUCUUCGAUCUUGAUCACCUUUUCCUUCUCCUCCUUGAAGGACUCUAACCUCCUCGACGAACCUUUCGCAGAGGAAGAAUCGGUUAUUCUUUUACUUCCGCCCUUCGAUGAACAGAGAGGGGAGGAUUGGCCACUGCACUCUGGCACGGCCGAGGAGUUUCCCGCGUCGGAGAUAGGUGAACGAAUCGUUUCGUUUCUUGCUGAUCGGCAUGAUGCCAUUUUCAUUGCUCGAGGGAGACACUUGACACUUGACGAGUCCGCUAGGUUUUCUUUGUUUCCUUUAGAGUCAGGUAUUUUGGAGGUUCUGCAUUAUGUUUAACAUAUUUAUUGCAGUUAAGACAUAUGUGGAUUGAUCAAAUCAAAAACUCUGGGGAUUGUACGAGUCUAUACAUCAAGAGAAAUUGUCGAAGGGGACUAUAUAUACAGUAAUUACCGGUCUGAAAAGGGUUUAUAGCUCUCGCCACGCAACACGUGUAUAUGGCAUAUCCAGGGUGGCAUCAUAUAAAGAUAGUGUUUGAUAUUGAAAUAUGAGGAUGGUACUCACGGUCGACACUUUCAACAAAAGCCUCAUUCACUGGUCUCCUUACUAGUAUUUUGUCUAUGCAUAUUUUACAACUGAUAUGAGAUCUAAAGCAGGUAGCUAGAGAUCACUAAUUGGACGAGAAUCGCAGAUAUAUGCAGCUUUACUCGUGAAUAAAAAUGUUAAUCUUAUCAGUUACCUAGAGCUUAGAAAAGUAGUACUAGAAAGUAAUAGCUUAAGAGAAAGAGAUAAAAAUGAUGAAAUCUACAACUAGUAUGGAGGGUGCAACAUACUCAAGUACCAUGUGUUUGGUUAAAAUUUAUGUAAUCAAAGGAGAGCCAACUAAAGGAGAGGCUCUUAAGUUGUAGCAUAAAUACAGAAAUUUAGAAUUACCUGUCCUCGUCAAAGGACGAAGAUCGCUUUAGAAUAGGCACCCCGGCCUCUCCCUCCUUGUGCCUCUUAGUCUCAAGCAAGCUCCCGCUAAAAUAUUCUGCCCCUUCAAGCCUCAUUCCCAUCAUCCUUGGCUUCUCCGAGAAGCCAUCCAUAUCUCCCACCAUCAUCGAAGUAGAAAAAAAUGGAGAGGGGAAGUUCAUAUGAGUGAACCUCGGCCUAUAAGUCGGAACAAGCCCAAAACUUCGGUGAUCCUUAACAGAUAUCGACCCACAUGUAAUCAAAUGCAUGAGCAAAUUCGUUGCCCUUAGCCUUGACGCGACAGGGACAUAAACCUCCUCCUCUUCUAAUAUCCUAAAACUAUUCCUCUUGCUUGCUUCAGCUCUUAUUAGAGAUUCCAAAGUAUCUAUUCUCCCACCCGAAGAAACACUAGAUGACGUUAGCGGCGGCGAUGAUUCAAUGAUCAUCUCUGGCUGUUCGUUCGAUCUUGGGGUACGUUUAGGGUCCCUUUCUUGGAAAUCCAACGGCCCAUCAUCUGUGGAAACUCCGGUGGUGCGAGUUUCCGCUUGAACAGGGUUCUUCCCUUUUCGAUCGUCUGUUUGAGUGGAGGCAUCUUGAGCACCGACUGGCUUGUAGAUUCUGUACUCUGUCGGACUGAGGGAGCUUGUUCUUGAUGAGGGGGCAGUUCUUCCUUUGGGUUCGGGAGAGAAGUUUCCAGAAGAACCGGAGCGAGGAGUGUGGCAUGGCUCAUCUUCUCGAAGAGUGGAAGGAGGUGGUGAUGGUGGAGUAGGAGGCGGCGGUGGCAAUGGUGAUGGUGGGGGAAGUUUUGUUCCCUCAACUAAAAUUGUGGGGGAGGAAGAAGAAGAGCAAACUUCUUGGUUUCUACAUGAAGUUGGGGAUUCCUGUUGCGGUUGUUUUGAAUUCUCGAUCUUGGUGUUGCUUGCGCCAUGGUGUUGUCGAUCUACAAAAGAAAAUGGAAAGGAAAUUUUAAGGCUAUUCAUAUGCCAUUUGUCCUAAACCCUCACCGUUCUGCGAGGACGCGGGUGCAAUGCCUACGCUCAAAAGUUUGAUACCCUCAUCACAUUUCAAUAGGUCACAUCCCCAUCUCUUCGACUCUUAGUUCAUGUAUAUCGUGCACAUAGAAUUGGGGUGGAAUUGGGGUGUUAAGUCUAUUUCUAAGCAGUUUCCUAUAAAAGCGAUAGUUUAGGUACCGCCGGGAAAGAGAGAGAUCUAAGUAGAGAAAUAUUAAAGUGUUCUUCUCGGUUUCCUCUUCAAAAUGAGGAAUUAGUAGACAUGACAAAAUCGAGGCAAUUCGUCGAGUACCUGGCGGGGAUCGAUCCAACAAUUCGGAACCUUUGAGAAUGUACUCAUUGCCCUGCGCGGGGUGAACCAAAUCGUCCUCCGACAAAUCGUGCCACACAAAUCCAUUCUUAUAGCUCCUGCACAAUUGAUCCCAUGAACCAAAUUCACCACCAGUUAAUGCACAAAAUUAGGGUUUUAACCAUGAUCUUCCUCCCAAUUACCUCUUACAAGACCACGAGUACAUCGCCGCCAUGCCCUUCCCUCUCAGCGCAUUGAGCCGAAUAAUCACAUCUGCAACCAAAACAACACAGAACCCAAAUCAAAAGCCCAAAGCAAAACAAAUCAAAGUCCCCACCUUUACACUACAAACCAACUACCUCUCAAGUAUAGGGCCUCGGAGGAGGAGGACAAUGGGACCUCCAUGAAGUGCGGGUGCUCGAGAUGGCGAUUGCGGCAGAGGUAAUACACAACAGGGACCUUCUUCGGCUGCGGCGACUGCGAAUGCUGCUUCGGCAUCGCCAUCGCCAUCGGCGGCGGCGGCUGCGGCUCCACCCAAACCCUAGUCCGUUCGGGGCUCGAUCGCGCCCCGUAUCUCCUCAUCCUCCCCUCCAUCCUCCCACCACCUUCGGCUACCAAAAAACUAGGGCUUUGAAGAUAAAAGGAGGCGCCUUUCCUCUACAUAUCAACUUCCUACGAGAUCUAGGCAAUAAUUCGAGCAAAUGCCGUGCAAUUAAAGCAGAAAAAUUGGGGGAAAAGAUGCGGCGGAGGAGGAAGAAGAGGACGCACUCAACCAACUUGAUGGGCGAGGGGAAUUAAUGGGUGGUGGUACGAUUGCUACUGGAUUUCGCUUGUGUUUAUGGUGGGGGAAUGGGUUCGGGAGAAGGGAUUAAAAAAAAAGAGAGCUUGGGGUGCGAAAUGUGCAUAGGAGGGGAGUGUGCGUACGUACGUGAGAUUAAAGAAGGGAUUUUUAUGGUGGUCGAGAGGAGAAGUGUGCAGAGAGAUGAGAGAGAGACGAGGAGGAGAGUUGGGGGAAGGGAACAAAAAGGGGGAGAGAGAGAGAGAGGGAGAAGUGUGAGAAAGUGAUUGAAGCGUUGCUCUCAUGUUCUCUUCCCCAUGUGGCCAUGUGUCUCUCUUUUAAGGAGGUCAAGUACAAGCUCUCCCAUGGGAGGGAGAUCCCAAAGGGCACACCUAUUUGUCCCCCUACUUAAAAAAAAAAAAAAACUUCAAAUAUAUUUUUUCUCAUUUUAGUAUCCUGUGAUUUAAAUUUUAUCAAGUUAGUACCGCAUGAUUUUGCACUUUUUUAUUUUAGUACCCUGUGAUUUAAAGUGUAUCAAGUUAGUACCAUGUGGUUUCGUACUUUAUCACUUUAGUAUCCUGUAGUUUAAAAAUCACAUGGUACUAACUUGAUACACUUUAAACCACAGGGUACUAAAGUGAGAAAGUGCGAAACCACAGAGUACUAAUUUGAUACACUUUAAACCGUAAGGGUACUAAAAUAAAAAAGUACGAAACCACAGAAAGGAUUUUUUGAAAUUUUUCCUUAAAAAAAAUAGUUAAUUUACCAACUGUUUGUACCCAACUCAGUUGACUGAGAACUCUCAUAAUAAUUAAUAUUAAAAUUUGACUAAAUUACAAAAAAAAAAUUUGUAAAUAUUUAUUUUUUAUUUUUUUAGAUUUUUUAAAAAAUUAUAUUUUACUUUCUUAAAAUUUUAAGUUGUUACAUUUAGGCCUCCUCCAUUAGAGUUUCAUCACUAUUCCGUUUAUUUUUUAUAUUUUAUAUCGAAAAUAUAUCUUUCAAAAUGACAGAAAUAUAUUAAAAUUUUAUUAUUUUUUCUUAUAGGAGAAGUCAGAGUAAUUUGGUCAUUUUGCCCUAUCCAUUAAUACCGUAGUCCUUGAAAAUAAAUUUCUGAAAUUUUAAUAGGCAAAAUAUAAAUUUUUGAAAGUUAGAAAGAAAAAGUGAAAAAAGGAAUAUUCAUAGGAGGGUUUUCUGUAAUUUAACCUUAAAAUUUUUAAAUUUAAAAUUUAAUUAUUUUAUAUUUUUAUUUGACUUUAUUUUUUAAAAAUAAACGAACGGAUUGUUUACCCUUUUUUCUGUCAAAAAUAACAAAAUUUCAAUUUGUCUAGUUAUAUUGUAGGAUAUAAGAAAAUUAAUUUUAAUUUUUUUUUUAAUUGCUUCUGAGUUCAGCAUAAUCCCAUGUACCAAAUUAAAACAUUUACUUUUAGAACUAGAUUAACCUUUAACUUCUUAUUAUAACUACAACUAUAAAUUUAUUAAUAUUCUUAUGCAAAAUUGUAAAUGAAUAUAGUAGUAUAAGUAGGACCAAAUAAAUUUCUUAAAAUUUUUAUAAGUUACUGUUAUGGCCGAGAUUUGGCAGCUAGAAUAUAUCAAACGAAUUUGAAAAAUUAAUAGUGGCAUUAUUUUUCAAGAAUAAAUAUAAAAAUAUAUUUUACUACCGUUUGGUUCGGGGUUAAGUAAAAACUUGUUAUUUCAGGAAUACAGUUAAGUUCAGGGUUAAGAUAGGAUUAGAGUAAUUUUAUGUUUGGUUGAGAAUUGAGUUUAGUCCAGAUAUAGAUAAAAUAAUAUUUGAUUGGAAUAGGUGGGAUAAGAAGGAUAAUGGAUAAAAUAGUAUUUUGUUUGGUUGGAAUAGCAAGGUGUGGUGGGGUGGGGUAGGGUGGAGCCUCCCAUAUUGAGUGUUUAGAAAUAACUUCGGGCUUAAGGGGUUAUUCCACCCCUCCGAACCAAACGGAUGCUCAGUGUUUGGUUAGGGGAUAGGGAUAGGAAUAGGCCCUUAUCCCCCUCUUUAUACUCAAAUGCUAAUUUUUUAUCCGAGAAUAGUAGUUCUCAGUUAUCCCCACCAACACCUUCAUUUUUUAUAUAAAACUAUUUAAAGUUAUUCUUAUUCCCGGGAACAAUCUAAUUUUCAUCCAAACACUAUUUUUCUUAUCCCCAUACUUGUACUUAUCAUUAUAAUAGCUAGUUCUUACUUAUAUCCGAACCAAACGGAUGCUUAAAGAAUAAUCAGAAUGCCGACACGUCAACAGAGUACAUAAAAGACAGUAAAACUCACGGAUAAGUAGAUAGACAACAAUAUCCAAUGAAUUUAUCUUACUGUCCUCAUUGGAAUGGGGGGCAAUUUGGGGGUACACCAAGCAUUUUUCUUUUUCCUUAAAAUAGUUGGGAAGCUUUGGUUGUUGUUAAAGCAAUUAAUGAGCACAGCUACUGUUGUUUGCUUCUUUAUUAGAUUGAAGAUUGUUCCAAUCCUUGGUUGGCUUUGUCAGGCUUUUCUUACUUUUUGGCUAUCUAUUCUCUUCUUUGGAUUAAAAUUAUUAAAAAAUUUAAUAUUUUUAGAAUUAAAUUUGAUUUUAUCAAAGUUUGUGUAUUAUAUCUAGCUAGGAUUUAGACUUUUUUUUUAUUUUGAUAAUAUCAAAAUUAGGUUUAGAAAUUACCAAUUCCCAAUUAUCAGGCCAAAAAAAACAUACUUUGCAAUGGAUAGAUUGCAGUGGUACAAUUGAGUGACUUUGUUCAAGAGGUUAAAUUUUACAUAAAGUUCAAUUGACCAUGGCAUCCUCUGUAGUUGUUGUCGGAUCGUUGGCGCUAACUAUUAAUUUCAAAAAUUCGAGCUAUUAGAAAUACGCAACCAAUUCACUUAAAGCGUAUUAGAUACCGCGUCCACGGAUCUCGAUUGCGACUCGGCCCGUCCAGCCUCACGCCACUUCGAAUAUUACUCGGCUCGCCCAGCCUCAUGCCAUUUCGAAUAUGACUCGGCCCAACAUGACCUUCCGCCACAGGGCAAGUUGCUGGUCCAUUUAAGUCAACAAUUAUUUUCCACUUUAAACUCGUCUUAUUUUGUCAAUCACUUUUAUCUUCCCAAUAGAUCUCAAAUUAAAAUCUUACUAAUUUGCAAACUAAAAAUUAUUUCACAAAUUUUUUUUAAAAAAAUCGGGAUUUCGCAUGGUGAAAAUAUUGAUGCGAGUUUUUUAGGUAUCAAAAUCAAAAGCAUCAUUUUAAAAUUUACUCAGGAAAUAAAAAAAAUCCAUGGUACAAUUGUUAUUUCUUCGUAAACUUAUUUAAAAAACAAAUAAAAAGUAGUCAAUGAGUAUCAAAAAUAAGAUCUAAAUCUUAGUUGCAUGUAACUUACGUACAAAAAAUAAAAGCAUUUUUGAAACAUUUGUACUGUCAAAGACAAUUAAUAGAUAAGAACGUAUAAAAUUUAUUCGAACUAUGAACUAUUUUAAAUUUAUUAUUCGAUAUGAUAUUUUAACUUUAAAAUUUAAGUUAAUUUCUUACUUUAAUAAAUUUAUAGUUGCUAAAAUUAUGUGAAUAUACUAACCAACCUUGUAAUAAUAAGCAACUUAUUCAAAUUUUAAAGUUAAAUUAUCAUUAAUUGACUCAACUCAAAACAGAUUGAAAGUUGGACAAUAACAUUAAAAUUUUAAAAUUUUGAAAUAUUAAACAGUGGAUUCAAAAUCAUUCAUAAUUCAGAUAAAUUUUUUUACCCUACUAAUUUCAAAUUUCAAAUGCAAAU